rnacentral:lncRNA from 1 species
CACCUUCAUCCUCAGAGAAGGUGAAAUCCAGUUGUUCCUCUUUUAGAUCUACAUCUUCAAAGACAUCGUCGACAACGACAGCUUCGUGAGGUUAAGAUCUUGUAGCAAUCAGCGGAUCUGCAACUAGACCAACAAUGUUGGGACAAACACCUUUAUGGGGGAUUGAUAUAGAGGAAGAAAUAUAUGAGGUUGACACCCGAGGAACAACCCCAGAUUCGGCAUCGGGAGUAGCAACAGGGGCAUGCAGGUUGUCUUGUCUACGUGGUACUGUAGAAGGAGCCUUUCUUUUAUUUCUGGCCAUUUGACAUGAAGAACGGGCGGGAAACGGAGAAAGAAGGGGAAACCGAGAGAGAACUUGAAAGCCAAGACAAGGGAAAAAGAAAACCGAGAGAAGAUCAAACACAAUAAGCUACCAGCGAACACAAGGGAAUCAACUCCAUGAUGAUGAAUUUGAUUUUAUGUGAGCCAUGAAGCUUGCCAAGAUGGAUGAGUCCCUUUCCUAGAGAGAUAAAAGAAAUUUUGAUCCACCAGGUGAUGUCCCUUAAAAGUGGUAGCAUGUUGUUACAUGUGCUGGCAGUAGCGGUGACACGUAAUGCCAUCACCACUAUCCCAAAAAAGAUCUAGUGCUCUCCUAAACACUCUGGCAACGCUUGGACAAUUCUAACAACUUUAGAAGGUCAAUUCCUAAACUGAAAUGAUUUUUUUGUUGAUUUAUAACAUGAUUGCAAAUAUUUAUGGUAAUUUUUAUGUUUUCUCAAAUAUGUAUUUGUAUUGCAACAUUGGAAAUUUUAUGAGUUUGAUAGCGAUAUUUGAAGUGUUGUGGGUUCGUGCCUGUUACGUGAUAACCUCAAGAGUAUGAUGCUACUGAUGAAUUUAUUUUUAUGGUGAAAUAAUGAUGAAAAUCAAUACCAUACGAUGAGGAUGGGAGGAUGGGUAGCAACAGGUGUAUCUGGGUGUGAAUUUUAGUGUGAAUUUUUAAUGUGUGUUGAUGUUUGUAAUUUAUGAAGGUGUGAAUUUUUAAUGUGUGUUUGCAAUUUGUGAAAUUUGAUGUGCAUUGAUGUUGUCUUUGAAUUGUGAAAUUUAUGCAUUGAUGUUUUUUAUAAUUAUGAAUUUUAAUUUGUUGAUUGUGAAUUUUAAUGUGUUUAUGUAGUUUUAAAAUUGUCAAUUUUAAUGUUAGACAUUUUUAAAUUUUAUGUGUGUAUGGUAGAAAUAUUUUCACAUAUAAAAAAUCCACCAAAAACAUAAAACAACUAUGAAUAAAAAAAUGUCACAUUCUUUUUUCAUUGUCUUUAUUUGUGUUUUCCUGAUUUUUUUGUGCAUUAUACUAUUAUUUCUUUUUUUUUUAGUUUAACGUGGGUGUCCGGACCAGCUUGCGCGCACCUCGACUAAUCCCACGGGCCCUGAAGUUAACGACCAUGUAAGCCUCUAGUGGCCAUCAUAUGAGCAACCACAGGGCUCGAACCUGAGACCACAGAGGGAGCAAACCUCUUGGUCCCAAGCUCUUACCACUGAGCCACCACCUAGAUGGUUACUAUUAUUUCUUUUGUUAUGAGAGGAUCUGGGUCAGGUCAACAUGACCUUGUAUCCAUUGAACACAAAUGACACCUUUCAGGACAUGUUAAAUAAAGUAGGUCAAAGCUCAUUUUUUGCCAUCCACAUGGACCUAACGCCCAUUUUAAAAUCCUUAAAAAAUAUUAUCCAUUAAAAAUAAAACUAAAAAUCUUGCUAGUAACUUGUAAUAUUUGAUAUAAUAGACUCAUAACGAGAUUUUAUUUUGAAGAUUGAUGGGGAUUAAUAUAUCCUUUUGAUUUUUUUUUCAAAGAAUAAAAUUUGAAGUCUAAUAUUCACUAAUAAUGAAAUUAGGAGCGUUAAAUUUUCUAUGUUGAUUAAUGGAUCUCCUUCUAAGGAAUUCUUAAUGGGUCGUGGGAUUCACCAAGGUUACUCUAUUUCUUCGUUCCUUUUUCUAAUUGUAGUAGAGGGGUUAUCUGUUUUGUUUUAAAGAGCAUCUACAACUGAUCUUUUCAAACGUAUCCCUUUUGGAGAUAGCUUUUACCUUACUCAUCUGCAAUGUGUAGAUGUCACUCAUCUGCAAUGUGUAGAUGACACUUUGAUUUUCAUGCCUAGUAAUCUUCACAUGAUCAAAAUAGUUAAAAGAAUUCUGUUGUAGUUCACUAUUUGUUCAGGUUUGCACAUUAACUUCCACAGAAGCUCUUUAAUUGGCAUAAAUGUUGGGGAAGAUAGUUGUGCAAGUAUGGCAUCUUCAGUCUUUUACAGAUUUGGUUCCUUGCCUUCCUCUUACUUGGCCACGCCUUUGGGAUCCAAUCAUAAAAGGUUGUUUACAUAGAAACCUAUUAUUGAGAAUUUUAGAAGAAAAAUGAGCAUGUGGAGAGGUUGUAUGCUUAGUAUGGCAGGGCGUAUUUGCCUAAUAAAAAAUGUCCUAAGCUUAUUGCCAAUCUAUUAUAUGUCCUCUUUUCUUAUGUUGAAGGGUGUCUGUAAUAUCUUGACCUCUAUUUGGUGAAGAUUCUUGUGGCCUAGGGUGGUGAAAUAGAAGAAAAUUUGUAAGGUGCAGUUGUGUAUUGUGGUGAAAGCUAGAAAAAGAGGAGACCUUGGGUUGGGUUCUUUAAUGUCUAAAAAUAUAUCCAUGCUUUUCAAAUGGAUAUGAAGGCUAAACUCGUCAGGCCAUACCUUAUGAAAACAAGUAACAUCCCAUUUUUACUCCCCAACUUUCAAGAAUGGAACCCUAAAAUUACAUGGUAAUAUUUCCCUAUUUUGGAAAGAUAUUUUGUCAAUCUUGGAUCAAAACUGUGUUAUCGGCUCAGUAUUGCGUCAAAAACAUUAAAUUCAUGAAUGGUGAUGGGUCCUUCAUUCUCUUUUGGUCUGAUGUGUGGAUAUGAUCAAAUGAUUUGCGUAGCAUUUUCCCCAGGCUUUACAAAGUUUCUGCUAUUCAGAAUGGUUUGGUUCAUGAGAUGAGUCAAUGGGUGAAUGAUCAUUGGCGAUGGAAUUUGGUUUAGCGUAGGAAUCUCUUAUCUUAUGAAGAGCAUCAAUAUCAUCAAUUGCUUUCAAUGCUGGAGCGAAUGAUAAUUCAGUACGGAAAAGAUGACAAAAUCAUAUGGUCGUAUAAUUGUGAUGGAAGCUUCUCAAUUAAGUCAUGUUGCACCCUAAUUGAUAUUACAUCUUCUACUAAUGAUAGAGUUUUUAGAGCCAACAUCUGGAUUAAAAAGGCCCCUUUAAAAGUUCAAGUGUUCUUUUUGUUGGCAGUUCUGGACUAAGUUAGUACAAGAGCUUUUCUCCAUCACUAGAAUGUUUUGCCCGCCACUCAAGCUUCUUGUAUCUUUUGCAGCUCAGAUUUGGAAAUUUCAAAGCACCUUUUGAUACACUAUAACUUUUCUAGGAGUGUUUGGAUUAAAGUUUUGGAUUGGUAGGGUAUCCAAUGUUGUUUACCUAGCACAUUAGACUCGUUGCUUCUACAGUGGUCCGGAAUGGUGCAAGGCAAAUUCUAAAGGUUAGCUUGGAGACUAAUCUCUAGUAGUACUAUUUGGGGUAUUUGAUUGUUGAGAAACUAUAUUGUUUUUGAGAAGGGAACUAUAAGCUUGUUUGAUUAUUUUUCCACCAUCCUUCAUCAGGUUGCUAUUUGGCUGCAUACUCUGGAUUCAAACUUCACUUAUACAAAAAAUGACCUCUUAAGAUCUUCUGAUAGCAUCAAAUUAUGGUGUAAUAAGAAAUCUUAGGUAGUCUCUUUGUUUCUGUUGUAGCAUAUUAGUUUUUUUUUUCUGUUUCUCUAAGUCUGUUCCUUUUUUCUUUCUUUUUUGCCAAGUCCCUGUAUUUUGCUUUGGCUAUUAGUUUUAUAGCCUUUUCAAUAUACUCUCGAUGAUUAAAAAAAAUCUAAUAUUCAUUAAUAAAAAAAUCAAGAGUAUUAACAUCAAUAUCACUAGAUCCUACUUCCAAGUAGAUCACCUAAAAUAAGUGCUACUUAGAUAUUUUAGGACUAAGGUACAAAAAUAUCAUUCAACAAACAUUGGGAAUGAAACUCAAAUGUCAUAGGACAAGUGAACUUCAUCAAGGUUUCUUCCAUGGGCUUUCUCUAGUAUUUAGGUUGGGUCUAUAGACCUAACAUAGCCAUAUUAGUACAUUUAUGGACAUAACUUGAGUUGUGAUAUGUGAUCACCACAUUAUAGUUGUUAACUCACUAAAACAACUAGGAGUCGUAAAAACUAAGUAGAUUUUUAAAAUGGAUAGGUCUUGAGUUUUUUACUAAGGUUUAAUUUAUCACAAUAAAUCUACAUGCACCUUAUAGAUGGAACAAUGGAAGUUUAAACAUAACAAGACCUUAACAAUUUAGGACAAGACAACCAAUGUAGCCUAUAUUAGGUAGAAUGUUUAGGGGUGAUAGUUUUUUUUUUUAGCAUAAUCAGUCUCUUAUUAUAGAUCUCUAAAAACUAGUUAGAGUUUUUAGUGAUCAUAAUAUUAGGUAGUGAUUGCUUUACUAAGAUUAGACAUUUCAUCUUUCUCAAACAUAUAGAAAAGACUUAUUUCUAAUAGUUUUGAGAAAAGAGGAUGAGUCACCACGAUGUCAACUACAACAAGAGGUAAUAGUUUAGGGACCAUUUGGGUGGAACCGUAAAAUGUACCUUUCUUAGACGACAUGUCAUUUAGCCUAUCAAAUGGCAUGUCAUUCAAUUACAUCAGAAAACUCUAAUUACAGGAAAUAUAGAUGACCUGUUACCCAGCUCAUAAAUCUUAAUUACAAAUGACAUGUUGUCUGACCAUAACCUAAUUCCUAUAAGAUGACAUAACCUUUAAAUCUUAUUAAAACCCUAAGAACGAUGCUUCAUUUAAGCCAACUCAUCACUUUUAAAAGACAUGCAUUUUUUUCAUGUAUGCCAACCCAUUUUCCUUUGACCUUUUUUUUCUUAAAUGACAACAUACAUUUUCCCAUAAACUGACCUCAUACCUCUUCCUUGUAGCCUUUUUAAACUUAUAAAUACCUUAUGAAGCCAGUUGAAGAAUAAUAUCAAGGCUGUAACCAAACCUGUAAAGUGGGAAGAAAACCUACUAUAUUGUCAAGCUAGCCUUGUAAUAGAAAAUAAGACAAGUUUAAGAGAGAUAAAGGUCUGAGAUAUCUUUCCAAAGAUAAAGGUGUUGACCUUGCCAAUAUAAUGACUCUAAAAUCCUUCUUCAUGGCCUAUAAAAAGGAUCCUUAAGACAUUCUUUACAGGGGGUAAUCAAUAGAAAAAAAAUAUGAAGAAAAGGAGAAAAGAAGAAACAAGAGAGAAAUAGAGAGGAGAUCAUACAACGAGGUUUGGAAGAGAAAGAAAAAAGUAAAGACAGAGAAAAAGAAAAGGGAAGAAAAAGGUCAUAAACAAUAAGAGAAAAAGGAGGUAACUAUAACAAGGAAGAAAAAGAAGGGUGAAAGAAAAAAAUAGUAAGGCAGCAUGGCAAUUACAAAUAGAGAAAAGGAAGGGAGAAGAAAAAAAAUUGAAAAAAUAAGAGUAAGCAAAAAGAAAAAAGAAAGGAAAAAAGGAGAGAUCAAGGGAUUAUUUAGGGAAUGGGAGAGAAAUUACAUUAUAACUUUCAAAAUUAGGCUCUAAAUACAAUGAUUUUGAUGAUAGCAAGGUUGUAAGUUGUUACAGGUCCUCAUCUUUCAUAGAAAUAAAAAAGAAUACCUAGUACCUUUGUGAGUACAAAAUAAAUCCUAUACUACCACAACCACAAGUAUCACUCUAAUAACCCUAUUUUAUUCUAUGCAUGAGGUUUAUGUCUUUUUUUUUCUUUUGUUUCAACAUGUGAUAUAAUUCCUUUUUUUUUUUCGUGAACAUGGUGUGUAAAUAGGUAAUUGUGUCUAGUAGAUCUCAUAUCUAAUGGUUUUAAGUCUUGUCUUAGGGAUGUUGCUUUGGUUUGUAUGAGAGGAGAAAUAGAAGCAAUUUAUUUCCUUCUCUUAUUCAGUGUUCGAGUUUUUCUUUCUUCUAAAAUCACGGUUCCAUGUUUUAGCUUUCUAGGUUUAUUAGCAUAGUUUACUAGUCAUAGGUUAAAGAUAUAGAAGGCUAAUUUUAGAUUUUCUUGGUGGCAUGAGUUGUAGAACCUAUGAAAGCUAGGUGUUAGGUGUAAGGUGUGGUGGGAACUCGUAGAUACAAGAAAGGAGCUUUUAUACCUUUUUAAUUUCGAAAGUAACUUGAGUUAUUCUUUUAGAUAAAACUCUUUCUUCUCUUUCUAAUAACAUGAAAUGUGGUUAUAAAGUCAACCGAGAUGUUUGCUUUAUUUUCUAAACCAAAUAUCUAUCCCUUUGUCAUCUGAGCACAUAUAGCAACCACAAUUUUUUAGCUUUCAUUUGUGCUAACAUGCAUGAGCUAGGGCAGUGAGAUGAGGAAGGGGUUUUUUUUAUUUUUUAAAUAUAGUGGUGUGAUGGAAAGAAGCUUGAUAUGAGAGUAGUGUUUUGUUUUUCAGGGGGAAGACAGUGAACUCUAGGUCAUUUAAAAUUAUUAUGAUCUUUACAUGCAUGAUAUUUUAUGUAACUUAGUAUGAUUAUUGUCUUACCAUAGUCAUUACAAAAAAAUAAAAAUCUCUUUCCAUUCUCUUUUAAUUUUAUAAUGGCCAAGUUUACCAUAUUAAAAAUACAUUAAAGAAAACAAAAAGAUGGCAUUUUUUCACAUGUGUCGGUAAUUUACAAAAAACCAAAUAUUUUGGUAUGAAAUUUUUUUUCCAAAUUUGUUGCAGGUAUUUGUGGACUUAAUAACAAGUUUAUAAAAUUCAUUGGAACAUGACUUAUAUUGAAAGGCCCAUUAUACCGACAUACCCAAAACCUUUUAAAAAAAUCAACUUGGUUUUCCCAAAAUCCAAUUAAAUUUUUUUUUUGCUAUUUACUUUUAAUAUUUAAGGUAGAUGGACUCACAAUUAAAUGUUGCCUUAGGUAUUAAAGGAGUAGCAUAUUCCUCAAAUUUUUUAUAUAAUAAUUUUUUUAGUUUAAUAUUCACUAAUACCGAAGUUAGGAGUAUUAAAGUUUUACUAUGUAAUAUUCACAAUACUAUAAUUGGAGAUAUUAUCUUUCAAAUCAAUGUUCAUAGACGCUAUUGUCAAGAAUAUCAUAUUUUCUAUACAUAAUACUCACCAAAGCCAAAAUUAGGAGUAUUAUUUCUAAUCUAAUAUUCAUUGAUGACAAAGUCAGGGAUAUUAAGCCUUUUCAGUACAAUAUUCACUAAUGUCAGAAUUAAAGAUAUUAUUUUCAGUUAAAUAUUCAUGAAUGCUAAAAUCAAGGGCAUUAAAGUACCAUAAGAAAAAUAAACCUUAAUAAGGCUCUUUCCAUGUACCUUCCUUACGACGACUAUGAUGUUUGAACCACUAAUAAAGGUUUAACCAACCGUAGUAAAUCCAUUAUCACCUUGUAGAUAGAUCUUUGGUAGAACAGGAAUAACAGAUUAUUACCAAUUUAAAAAAAAACUAUCAAUGCAACUUAUCUCAUGUAGGAUGUUUUAGGGUGAUAGUAUCUUCCCUUUAGCAAAACCAGUUUCUUAUCAUAGAUCUUUGCUGAUCAAUUAGGAUUUCUACUGACCAUAAUACUAGGUAAAAACUCAUUUACAAAGAUUAGACCUUUCGCCCUCUUAAAAUAUAAAAAAGAACUCCUUUCCUAAGAUUUAAAGAAAGAGGGCAAGUCACCACAAUGUUUGGUACGACAAAAGUAACUUGAUUCCCACACAAACCCUCUAGCUUUUGUUAAGGGUAAGUUCCUUGGGUCAUUAGGAUUAAAUCAUGUACCAAACUCCAUCAUUCGAGGUCCUUUCUUAUGUAAAAGUUUGUCUAGCUUUCUAUUCAGCUCUUCGAAUUUUAAAUCACUCCAUUUUGAUUGUUGUUUUACAUUGUCUUUAAUCUCACUCAGUUGGCUUUUUAUGUGAACAAAUUAAGCUUUAUGCUGCCUCGAUUGCUUUUCCAGUACAGCUUAGUUACAUCAUGGUUCAAUAUUUUGUAGCACUUGGAUGGUUUUAGGUUUAGAAAGAGAGAUUAGAAAUUCAAUUUUUGUAUUGAAAUUUUCGUACUCAUGCUGGCUGAGAGUUUGGCCUUUUAUAAAGAAUACGAGAUGGCAUGGAUGCGCACUGCCGCGGGUUUAUAAAACAAAUGUACUUGAUAUUGUUAUAAUUGUGAACUAGCACUAGAUAAGUAAUAGAAACUAAAAGUAUGAUGGAGCCAAUAUUUCACGAUGGAAAAAAAAGUUGUGUUGGUGAUCAAAAAGUUAGAGACUGAACAAAAUGAUUUGUAGCAAUCCAUAGUGUUUUGUGAGGAAAGAUACAGUGCUUUUACCACAUUAUUUAGCUUUUCUAUUAAUAAAAAGUUAAAAAAAAAAUUACAAAGCUAAAUUCUCUACCAACUUAAUAUUAAAAAAAAAUAACAAAGAUAAUUUUGGAAGGAAAAAACCCCAUGAGGAAAAACGUUGUAGCAAUUGACAAUGUUUUGUGAGGAAAACUACAGUGUUUUCCUCAAUAAAAUCGACAAAGAUAAUUUUAGAAAAAAUCAUAAAAAAAACCAUUUAGAGAAAUACUGUAGCAAUCCAUGAUGUUUUGUGAGGAAAACAACAAUGCUUUCCCCAUAUGAUUUAGUUUUAUUGUAAUUAUAAUUCUUAACCAACUCAAUAUUAAAAAAAAAAUCGACAAAGAUAAUUUUGGAAAAAAUCUUAAAAAAUCAUGUGGGAAAACACUGCAGUAAUUCACAGUGUUUUAAAGAAAAAAAUUACAAAGCUAAAUUCUCAAUAUUAAAAAAAUAAAAUCGACAGAGAUAAUUUUAGAAAAAAAAUAUAACAAAAAAAAACACACAAAAAAUAGGGAAAAAAACUCAUGUUGGAAACACUGUAUCAAUUCACAGUGUUCUGUGAUGAAAGCUACAGUGCUUCCCCACAUGAUUCAGCCUUAUUUGUAAUGAUUUAUAAUUGUAAUUCUCAACCAGCUCAAUAUUAAAAAAUAAAAUUGACAAAGAUAAUUUUGAAAAAAUCAUAAGAAAAAAAAACCAUGUAGAGAGACACUGUAGCAAUCCACAAUAUUUUGUGAGUAAAGCUACAGUGUUUUCCCCACAUGAUUAAGUUUUAUUACAAAAUUACAUUCUAAUCAGCUCAAUAUUAAAAAAAUAAAAUUGACAAAGAUAAUUUUGGAAAAAAAUAUUACAAAACUAAAUUCUCAAUCAGCUCAAUAUUAAAAAAAAAAUCGGCAAAUAUAAUUUAAAAAAAUAAAAAAAUCAAAUAGAAAAACCAUGUGGGAAAAACAUCGUAGCAAUCCACAAUAUUUUAAAGAAAAAAAUUACAAAACAGAAUUUUUAACCAGUUCAAUAUUAAAAAAGUACAAUUAAAAAAAAUAAUUUAAAAAAAUAAAAAACAUUAUUUUAAUAUAUUUUUAAAUAAAAAAAAUUUAAAUUAUAACCAGUAUGAUAAUUUCAAACAAACCAUAUGAUACCCUUUACACCUCCAAAAGGGAAAAAAAAAAAAAAAGAGUCAUCUGAACCUCAAAAGGCUUCUGUUUUGGUCGCCCCCGACUUGCUGCCUAUACACUGCUACAAGUUUGACGCUUGACGACCGACAUCUGCCUCGUUUUUUUUUUUUUCUUAUCGAGGAGUCCUAGGAAUGUAACAUAAGGAUCUUGUUUUGAAAAGACAAUUACAAUAUGAAAAUUAAAUGAUACCGCAUGGCCAUUACUUAAUGGUAUUAUAAUAGUUUAUUUAGUAAAAAGCGUCUCUCCUUUUUCUUUUAGAUAACCAUGGCUUGGGUUUUCUAGGGUUGAUGACGUGGAUUCACUUGUAUUUUCAUGUUUUGUUGGGUUUGGUCCAUGCCUUUAUUGGUGAACCAUGUCUCGUCCAUGCCUUUAUUGGUGGACCAUGUCUCGUAUAAUAAUUCGAAGUAAAUAUUCUCAAUAAUCCAUAGUUUGAAGGCAUGUAUUAUAAAUUCAAUGUGUUUAACUAAUGAUGCCGUACGUUCCUGUAUUCUUAAUUUCUUUUUUGUUUAAAAGUUCUUUUUAUUAGUAUUUGAAAUAUUUUUUAUUGAGAAAAUAGAUUAUAUAUGAAAUCGUUCUGUGGAGCAGAAUUUCCUCAAGAUACAGUGAACUUGUUUAAUGCUUCAUCCAGGUCUCAUUUCACCGCCCGUUACCUGGACCGAAGCUCAAAGUCAGAAGAGAGGGAUUUUGAUUUAUCAUGUUAUAUGUACAGUCACAAGAAAUCACCUAUAUUUGGCUUGGAUUUGUUUCAAAACCUCCUUACAAUUUUAGAAAUAUAUGAUUCUCCAAUUCAAUCGUGCUGGAUAUUUAUUACUCGUCCAAUGAUCUUGAUCAAAUUUUUCCUUAUCUCUGGUGUGAAUCUACUGAAUGACAAGAAUGGUAUUUUGGAGUAGAAGUCAGGUUUAAAGAAAGCAGAAAGUAACAAGUUAUUUUGCUUCCUUGGUGAUGUGUCUGCAAAAUGGCCAGGCUUUUAUAGAGAGAGAGAGCAGAGGUAGAACAUGAAAUCUCUGAAAUGAAAUGGCUUCAAGUCUUAGAGACGAAUUACCCUUAAAGACAAGGAAACGCAUUAAUAUUCAAUCCUUGGUUGAUUCCACGAUGAUACUGAAUUGAGUAAAACAUUGAAUAUACAAACUGCAGUAGCUGAACAGUAUGUCGCCAGUGUGAAGUGAGCUCGUGACUGUGAGAGGGGAACUUCCUCCCAUGCAAAUAUACCCUUAGUUGUCAAAACAAUUAUAAACAAAUAAACAACUGCUUUCUACCAAAAAAAAAAGAAAAAAAGAUUAUAAACAAGGUAUUAUUAUAAAAAAUUCUCAUUCUUUGAACAAUAAUUUGGAAUUGCAAAAUGCCCUUGACAGAGAAACCCACGCAAGCUGAGAAUAACUUCUCAUUCCCUCACUUAAUCCUAUGAUAACUCUUUAAAGAAACAGAAAAAAGACAUAUCAUGCCCAUGUGCACUUCCUGCCACUUCCAACUUGACUCCUUUGAGACCUCUCUCUGUGCGCACUUCUUAAGACCUCGCUAGUUGCUACCAAAAUAAACCUAUCCAACUCAUAACCUUAAUGCAGACGAACUCCAACAAAUUAACUACAAGCCCUCUUUCACACAAGUAGCACGUCGUUGAGACCUAGGCAUACAAUCACUCUUUCUACUCUACAGCCCCAUUCUCUAUAGGGAACUACUGCAACUAUUAUGACAUGACAUGCGUCAUAUGAAACCAAAACGCACAUGAAAACAGACCUCGAAUCAUUAAAGCGUCUCUUCAUUUCUAUGCCUUCUGAGGAAAAUAUUAGUUGGGUAUGUAUGACUUGAAUUCCUCCUUUAUGAUACCUCUGACCUCUCAGUUUCCUCUGAAAUGUCCUUAAAGUCAAAGGGAGGUUCUAUGGAUUUCCCUAGAUAUUUCUGUAAAAAAAGAAGAAAAACAAAACGCCCACUAGCUAAUCCUUUAUUGUGAUUCUUGAUCUUGCUUGGUUUUCCACUUUGAACACAAACCUAGGGUUAGCUAGGGUUUUGAUGGUGGUUGUUUUUACUAAUUUAAUUAUUUUACUCUAUAAUUAUUUUGGCAUAUGGCUUAUGCUAACGAAAAGAUGCAUAACUAAUUAUGGAUUAUGCACAAACAAAAGAAGAAACAAAAGAAGCGUAGUUAGUGGCUAAAAACCAUGACGUGAUAAUAUUCUCUCUGUGAUCAAGUAAAGGCAUAUUAUAUAAUCAUUUGCAAUAUUAUAUAAAUGCAUGAUUUGCAAUACUUAAAUGCAUAUUAUAUAAUCAUUUGCAAUACUUAAAUGGAUGAUUUGCAAUUCUUAAAUGCAGUGAUUCCCAUAGUAGGUAGAAACUUUUGGAGGGAUUAUAAACACGACAGAGAGAGAGAGAGAGAGAGAGAAAGUGAUAGAAGAGAACACAAACAAAUGGACUUAUGCGAGAGAUGAUAUAUUGAAACUAUAACAAAUCUGAUGAUGAAGACAAUAGUACAAGAAAAAAGGGAAUCGAUGUUGUGAUGUAUCUGACUUAUGUGUCCUUGGAAACCAAUCUCUGUGUGUCUUAUGCGUUCAGUUUAAUUCUCUGAUAGAAUGUCAGUGAGGUGCUGAAUGGGGAUAUGUGCUCACGUUAUUCCAUGCAGUUUUAGCCAUGACCUUUAAACCUGAUUAAUCUCACCACCAAAGCUCCAAAACUGCCAUUAUUGAUCUCUCCGUCCCUCCUGUCUUUCUCUCUCAGAAAAACAAACACUAUUGCAAUUAAUUCCAUCUUAAUUUGAAGCACAUCCCAGUUGUAGAUCAAUGCUAAAACUUCUCCAGCUAGUCCUAAACUUACGAGUUCUUAAACGAAUUUUCUUCUGUGAAGUAUGCCGAGAAAAUUAACUGUGUUUCGUUGAGCAUAUGAGUUAAGAAUAUUUGAAAAUAAAUGCAAGAGAAGAUGUCAAUAUACUUAUUAGUAAAUCUGGUAAUAAGAGUGCAAACAAUGAAAUGAAUUGGACAGGCAUAGAAAUUAUCGUGAUCCAUUCAUAAUUACCUUCCCGUGGUUAAUAACUAUGGUCGAUGCAAUCAAAAAAAUUCGCUAUUAUAAACAAGAUAUCGCGGAAGAUAGAUGAGCUCUUCAUGUUUUUCUGUCAUGCUUUUCUUAAUAUUGUUAUUGUUACAUGCACCUUGCGAAAUCAUAAACGAUUGAGAGAUAGCCGAAGUGAUCAAGGAUCUAACAAAGAAAAGAGGCCAUGAUCUCAUGAUCUAAGAAAGGAAAAGAACAAAAAACGGCAAAGAGGAAAUCAAGCAACAUAAUAAAGAAGGUGCCAGACGGCCAGUAAUAUGUUCGAUAGCACUCGAGAUUCUGGAACUACUUUACCUUAGGCCGGUCACCAAGCCUGAGCUCAAGAUCCAAUUCAUCUACAGUGCAAGGGCUAAUUUCAAACACCUCAGACUGGACAUGAUGUUUAUCAACUGAAUUACACUUUAGAAAGAAAGGUAAUGAUGAUUUAUCAAUCCUCCGUUUCUUGCAGCUCAUAGGCUCCUCCCCACAGUCUGAUAUGCUCGGGCGAGUUCGUCGAACGACUAAAUUCAAGCUGACAGACAAAUCUGUUUGGACAUAAUCUACUUUGGCUCUACAUCCUGAUUCUAUUUUCCUUGAAUUCUGCUCUCCUUCAGUGCUUAGAGAAGAUAUAUGACAUCUUUCUUUAGUUAACUUAGUCUGUGGCGGGGGGGAAGAUUUAUGGGAUCUCUUUUGUUGUUCUUCAACAAUAAAAGAAGUGAAAGGAGGGGAAAUGGUUUUAUCACAGAAAUUCUCUUGAGUAGAUGUAAUUGAAACCCUAGAAGAUGAAGUUCGGGAUGGAAUAAAACCAGGAUUAGAAUUAGGGUUAGGGCAAUAAUCCAAGGUACAAAGCUGAGAUGGGUAUUGAAAACCGAAAGAUGUAUAGGGAUUUUGAAGGUGAUUGAGAGGUUUUUGAUGCUCAUGAUGAAGAAUUUCAUUGUGAGGACUUGGAGAUUGCUUGAGUCUAGCUCUAUCCCUCCUGUGGACAUUCAUAUGACCUCCUAGAGCUUGAGCAGACCUAAAUUCUCUUCUACAAAAGCUACAAGAAUAAGAUCUUGGAGGCCAUAUACAUCCUCCGAGAGGACCAGCUGCAUCUUCAGCGAAAGCUUGUUCUUCCCAAGAAUCAUCCAACGAAGGAUUGGUUGAAGCCUGAAAAUGAGAAUCCAAACUAUGCUUCCGUUUAGUCAACAUCCAAUAACGAGCUUGCUCCAUAUGUUGGACUAUAUCCAGAGAUUCACCCUUCCAAGCUUGAAGAAUAUACAGGAUUAAUAAUAGGAAAAGUAUUAAAACUUAAAGGUGAUAGAAAAUGGGAGGAGAUGGGAUGCAAGAAAGACAGAUAAAGGGCUUAACUGAUUGCUAAGAGUAGUAGUCGGGAAGAUAAAUUGGUGGGUACUCUACCAUGGUUGUCUUAGUGCAGCUACUUUUUUGGUUUUUGUGUUUGGUUCUCAGCACUAUCUACUGUGUAAGGGGAACGCUGGUUUAGUAUUCACGGGAGUGGGUCCAAGGAGCCUUGCUUGCUUGUGCUGUUUAUCUGUGCUUAUAGACAAACUGUAAUCAUGUCUGACUGAAACAUCCUUGGAAAUACCCAGCAAAAGUCGAAAAGAUGCUGUAAAUGCGCGCACAUACUUGUGCUACACUAUACUGUAUGGAUACUUUUGUUUUGGACUAGAAAUUACUACUAUGAUAUAUACUAAGCAUUGUUUUCCGAUCUGUGGACUGCCCUCUUCGAAGAAUGCCCAAAGGUGCAGUGGUUAUACUGUAGCAUUUUUACUAUAGCUAUAAACUUAUUAGCAUCACAAUUGAUAUAAUAAAAUUAUGAUUUUGUCUUCGUCAACAAAAACAAUUGGCCUUCGCAACUCUGUAUAGUGAUUUGUUUUUGUUUUUUUAUAGUAAAAUAACUAAUAUACUUUUUAAUACUUUAAAACACGUGCGAUUUUCUUCUUUUUUUUGUCAUUAUGUAAAAGUUUUUUUUUAGUCCUCAAACUUUGUUUUUGAAUGAUUUAGUCCAAUUUUAGGAGCAAUUAAUUUCAAAUUUUUAUGAAAGGGUGGGAUUGAAAGAAGGGGGGCUGAAAUGAAAAAUGCGGCAAAUAUGGGUGGAGUGCUAUAAGUUUUGAAAAAAUGCACUUUGGUCCUUCAUCUUAAACAAUCACGCAAAUUAUACAAUUUUUGUUCCUCGAAAUUGUUCCAAUUUCAUUUUGCUACAGAUGUUUAUUUUCAUUAUAUAAUUUUUUAUCCUUGGUUGAGAGAAGAGAAAGAGAUGGGUCGUCGGAUUCCCGCAGUAGAAAGAAAAACUUGUUGUUGGCACCGAAUUAAGCCACCAAAAUGAAUGAUUUUUGUGUCAAAUUAUUCUAUUUUAAUUAGGGGAGUUCAUAUAUAUCAGUUGUUUUUGUACCUUGAAAGUUCAUGAAAAAAAAAAUCUGAGCUUGGAUUGACUAAAUGAUCUUGGGUUUUGCUUUUUUAUUCGUAUAGUAGCCCUUUCAAUUUCGGGUGGUGCUUUGACUAAAUGAUCUCGGGUUUUACGUCAAUAAUCUCUUUUUUCUUCCUUCUUUCCUCUCUCCUGCUUAAUUUUAGCAUUGGCCUCUACACAUUUUCAAAGCAUCUCUUUGAUUUUUUUUUUCUUUUAGAUUUGGUCCCUAUUUUUUUCUUGCUAUUUUUUUUUAAAUAAUUAAUGAAAUUAAAAUUUUCUUUCAAUUGUAUCCUCUAAUUUUUUUAACUUGUUAGAUUUGGUCCUCAUUCUUUUGAUUGUGAUUUUUUUGUUUUUAUUCAUUCUUUUGAUUGAAUUAUUUUUUCAAAUGUGUCCCUUAAUGUCUUAUUUCAUUUUAUUUUUGUGUCAGAUUUUGUUCUUAUUCUUUUAAUUACAAUUUGUUUUUUUAUUGAAACUUUCUUUCUCAAUUCCAUCCCUCGACAUUUUAUUAAUUGGGAUUUUAAUUUCAUGAAUUUUUGAGUUCACCUUCUAUAGGAUAAUUCUAGCCUUAAUUAGGACUCGGGUCAUAGAUUUGAAAAGUUAGUCUGCGUUGGAUUAAGUCAUUUUUUUACAAUUGAUUUUUUUAUUCCAUCAUUUUAUAGGUUAUUUUGAUCCCAAUCUCAUAUGUCAGGUCAUAAAUUUCAUUGGUUUACCAAAGUUAAAUCGGGUUAGUUUUUUAAUCAUAAUUAACCGAGGUUAUUGAAUCCAAUAAAGUCAAUAACCCGACUCUUAGCUUUCUCUUGCUUCUUUAAAAAUGCUUCUAUCACCUAAGCAUUUUUUUUACAAUGAAAAAAAGUUUUGUCCAGUUAGCAAUAUAGAACGGGCCACCAAUCUAGUUAUUAACACUAAUAGGCAUUGAGAUAUAAUACAAUUUGUCUUACCAAUUUUUUGAAAUAAGAACUUAUUAAAUAGCUGAAAAUAAAUCCUUGUAUUAUUCAAAUUAUUCAUAUAAUUUUACCCCUACCACUAAUUGUAUUUAUAGAAAUAGCCUAACUUCUCUAAUCAUUGCAAAAGAUUAUUUUGCUCCUUGAAAAAUAUCACCUAUUUAAUUUCAGGAUAGUUAAUUGAAAUUUAUAUAAUCAAGUCCCUACUUGAGUUCUCUAGGCCCAAAAUUAUAAUUUUCUGUAUAAAUUACAUUCUAGUUCCUAAAUUUCUAAAACUUAUUUUAUAAUCAAGUCAUACUUGAUUUAGUUUAAUUUUCAUGAAGGAUUUUUAAUAUGCGUAAACUAUUUUGUUUCUAAUAUAUUUACCCAAAUAUAAAUCAUAAUCAUAAAAUUAAAAUAGGCUUAGAUAAAUUAAACAAUUUAUUUUAUCAAUAAUUUAAUAAUUGAUUAAUUUAUAUUUGAAGAUUAAGUGUAGCAUUUAGUAAUAUGUCAUAACCUCCUAAAUAUAAAUAUCAUGUAAGUCAUUUGUGAUUUGAUUAGCCUUUCAGCAAAUAAUUUUUUAGUGUAACGAAUACUCUUUCAUUAAUAAUAUUCUACUUUAAAUAUUUAAGUAUGAAGUGUAUUUGCCCUAUAAAAUUAUAUUAGUUCUCAAUAUAAUAGUCAUUAAUUAUUUGAUUAAGAUUUGAAACACCUUGAAAUCUUAUUCUACCUUGAACAAGAAUUUGAUAAUUAAUACAAUUUGAGAAUAAAAUAAAAAUGUUUUAUAGUUUAUUUAAUGUAAUGAAUUAUUUAUUGAUCACUCAAAUACAUUUAUAUAAUUUCUACACUAUCCAAUAUUUGGUUAUUGUUGCACUUGAUUAAAGCAACGUGUAGUCAUGAUCAAAACAUAGCAGUUUUUAAUUUAGUUAUCUCAAGUCCAAUGAUCAUUUACACAACUUUACAAUCUUUUCAUAAACUCAGAUAAUUCUCCAUGUAGAAUUAUUGUAUGGUCAACUUAGUGAACUUAGAUAUUAAUUUCAUGUAUUAUUUAUACAUCAGCCUAUGUGAAUAACUACUUCAUUUAAAAAAAGAAAGAGCAUAACAUAUAUCAAUCUUAAAAGAGCAAUGACCAUAAACGUUUAUAGAUAAUGAUAUGAUAAAAUAAAAAUCCUCAUAAUUAUAAAAUAUUUAUGAUUUUCUUACAAAAUAUUUUUAUCCCAAAAACUUUAUCUUUAUUUUAUAAUCAUUAAUCAAACACAAAUGAAUAUUAAAAACAAUUAUAUUUUUAUUAAUAAAUUAUAUAUAUAUAUAUAUAUUAACCUCCAAAUUUAUAAACUGCGGCUUGUAUUUUUAAAUUUUUCUUUUUAAAUCAUGGGUUCUGUUUUUUAUAGAACAACUUUUAUUUCAGCUUCCUCUACCUCUGAAUCUUCUGAAAGUAAAUGAGUUCUCAAUAGUGAAGAAAUUACAAUUGAAGACUUUACAAAAAAAUAUUGAUGAUUGGAAAAUUCUAAAAGUUUCAAAACACAAAUUUAUCAAAAUUUCAAAUUUGAUCUUUUCAAAACUGAUUUUACAAUAAAAAAAUGAAAGAAAAAAAUAUUCAGCUCAUAAAACCCUCUGAAACAAUCCAACUUUUUUAUCCUAAAUCCCUACAAAAACAUCAAGAUCGAAACUACAAAUAUAUUCAUGUCAGCCUAGUACAGGUUGGGAUCAAACCUCUUACCAAAGAAGGUCUCAAUACCUCCAAAUUUAUACUUUUGGUUGCAUGAAUAAUGGUAGUGUCAUGUACAAACAAUUGAUUGAUUGUAGGGCAUAUGCGCUAACAAUCAUUCACUUGUACUAAAAUCAAUCUCUAAAUAUCUAAUACUACAUUGCUCUAUAAGAAGAUCAUUCUUCUACCAGAAUAAUGUUUUGAUGAGAGGAUUUGCAAGAUUCUCUUUAGCAGAUACUCGCUUUAUCUUUAUAUUUUUUUUGUUGGACUUGGUUUUCAAUGAUGUAUGAGAUCAUUUCUAUUUGUUUUUUUGAUGAUCAUAAGUAAAUAGUUCUUUCCAUGGAUCAUUAUUCUAAAUUUGUUUGGUUUAGCAAUUGAAAAAAUAUAUAUAUCAAAGUGAUUCGGGCAAUUAAUUUUAUUGGUUCAAUUCUUAUUUUAAGAAAAACAAUAUUCAUAGGAUAGUGUGCUCUUAUAUUCAUGAAAAAAAAUGAUAUAAUUGAAAGAUAUAGCUUUGAUAAAUUGUUGAAAUAGAUGUUAACAUUAAUAGGUCAAGUGACUCUUCUAUAAUUUUAUUGGCAUUUAUAAUUUCACAUUGUUGUUUACUUAAUUAAAUGCAUGUCUACAUCUAUUCUAACAAUUGAAUAUCUUACUGAAAUAAUGUUUAAAAAUAAACCUAACUAUAUUUUUUUUCAAAAUUUUAGGUGUCAUUUAAUUCCAUUGUUAUGUUUAUAUAAUCCACUAUAAUCAUAUGUCAAAGUCCAAAAUCAAGUCCUAAACACAAUUGCUAAUCUAAAACUCAGCUCUUGUCAUAGACAUAACUAGAAUUUAUAAAAUGCAUAGUAUAAAUUUGCCUAUAUUUUCUAAGAGAUAACCAAGGAUCAGUCUUAAUAUAGAUUCUAGCAAUAUCCAAAACUAACAUUCGUAAACACUUAUGAUCACCAACAAUCUCAAUGUGGCUAAAAACACAUCCUAUAAAACUAAGUGAUAGACAUUGUCAUAACUAACUCGAUCUUUACUCCCUUUCAAAAACAAAUAUUUACAUCAAAAUAUUUUGCAAACAAGAUUUGACGGAUUUUUUUUUCUAAAAAGGACAAAUGUUGAAAAAUGAUCAAAAUACAAAAAAUAAAAUACAAUUUGGGAUCAAUAAUAAUUCUAAGAGGCAAUCAAGGGCGUGAUUCAAGAAAAACUAAAGAAAAAAUUUUAAAUUUAUAGAAAUUUAAAGAAUUAAAUAACCAAGGACCAAAACUAAAAAAAGAGAAAACUUUACGGGUCUUAUUUAUUCAAUCAAAGGUUUAAUUAAAUAGAAAAAUCAAAAUUUAGAGUCAAUUUGACUGAAUAUACACAAAUUAGAGAAUCAAGGGCUAUACUACAAAAGAUGCCAAAAUUAAAAGGCCAUUUUUAAUGCAAUCAGGGGUUAAGGUAUGAAGAAAGUGUGAGAAAAUUGGUGAAAUUAGCUAAAAAUUAAAAAAUCAAUGACUGAUUUGGAAAAGGUGCCAAAGUUGAAUGAGUAUUUUCAAUGUAAUCAGUGAUAAAAUUGAGAAGAAAUUAAAAGAAAAGGGUUAGAAUUGGUUUAAAUUUAAAAAAUAAAAAGCUGAGGACUAAAUUGUAAAAGGUAUCAAUAUUGAGGUACCAUUUUGAAUACAAUUAGGGGGUGGAAUUGAAAGAAAUGAUAAAAAAAGGGUUGAACAAAAAUUAAACUGAGGUUACCCCUUAUAGGAGUCUCGAACAAGUAAUGAAAUAUACUAGAAAAGCAUUAUAAUAAAGAAUAAAAAAAAAUACCUAUUUUUCUAAAUAAUUUCCUGCAUGAAAUUUGUUAGCAGUAUUAAUUAGUGCUCAUCAUUCCGUUUAUGGGAUACGUUCUGAUUCUUUAAAAAUUAUACUGUCAGUCAAUGGGCCAGAAAUUGCAGAAGUAAUAAAGUAGAUUUUAAAGCUCAUUUGUUAGCUUAGAGAUUUCACGCUAAUGAAAUGUAACAAAUUGGGUCAAAACUCACCUUCAUGAAAAUGGCAUCUCCUCCUUUUGGAAUGCUUACAAAGCAUGUCCCCUGCAACAUGCUCACUACCUGCAUUGAAAUUUUAUUUUAGAAGGUUCAUAUGCAUGAAGAACUGCAGUACUGCUAGAUCUGCUAAAUGGUGCCGAUCUGCAGACCUGUGCCAUGCUUUCAACUCCCUUGUACAGAGCAGAUAUUAACAAGAAAACAAGAAAAAGAAAAUGCCUUUUCCCCUUUGUAAGUGAUCAGUUAAAAAAUCUGAACAAAUGUAAAAAUCAAUAUCUGGAUAGGAUGGUGAGAUUUACAACUGAGCCAAAUCAUAGUCGAUACCCUUAACGGCAGGAUAAUUAGAAAUGAUCAUGUUAAGCACAGAACCAUCGUCACUACCCACAUCCACCAAGGUUUUUACACCUUCGAAGCCACCAUGCAUCCAGAAUUCUCUCCAUAAAUAUGGGGUUGAAAUCUCUCGUGCAGAUACUGUCUAGAGAACAAGUGAGAAUGAAAUGGCUAGAAAGAAGGCAAAGGAUACGGUCAAUCAUAAAAGGAGCAUCAUUGUUCUGAGUGGGAAGUUGGGAGGCAGUUGUUCUGAGUGGGAAGUAUUUAAUUUGUUGGUAUAUUUUGUUAACUACAUUAUCCAAUUUAUAAUCCAUCUAAAAUGUUUGUCUUGCUUACAGGACUACCUUAAUGAUCUUAGUUUGCAAUCAGUUCUUGUGACAAGUCCGGUGGAUGGUGCUGUGAUCUGUCAUACUUCGAAAAAGUGUUUCGGCCAGGGCACUUGCUGAUCAGGUAUAGAAUCAUCUACAGAAAAAACUUGUAGUGGUUUAGGCCUCCAUUUCUGCACCAGAACUUGCUGUGCAGCCAAGUCCAGUUUCCGGAGCUAAACAAAUAAAUUAUGGUUGACUCUUGCUAAUCUGCUGAUAAAUUCAACAUUCAUUGAUUUUCCAAUACAUUCAACAUUUAUCAACUACUGCCUCAACAAAAUCCAAGAGCUACACUCACUAGAGAUUUGAGUUCUAUGAGAAUUGAUCAUCAGCUUCUGAAAUGCAACCACAUGGGCAAUUGGGUAAGCUGAUGUAACUACAACAGUAAUUAUUCACUAAUUUUUUUAUGAACUCCACUACUGAAAAAUUACAAACAAAACAAGCAACUCGAAUAUGAGAAAAUCCAGCUUCCUUUCCCAAGGUUUCAAAUUCUUUUUCUGUCCUUUCUUUUCCUUGUGGACUCAUGCUUGACAUGAACAAAUAAUUCUGUAGCAUGCUUUUAGCUUUAACAUUGGUUUCAGGGGUUUCUGGAACUACCAUAUCCACUACUAUAACUUUUCCGUUGUCUGGUAAAGCUUCAUAACAAUUCUUUAGCAGUUUUAGCAAGUGCUCAUCGUCCCAGUUGUGAGUUAUCCACUGUUUCAUUCAAAAAUAUCAUUUCAGUUCCCUAACAGAGGUAUGUAGCUAACAAAUUGUUAAAACUUAACAAAUUGUUAAAACUUCACUAGUAUUAAAUCUUAUUACCUUCAUGAAAAUGGCAUCUCCUCCUUUCGGAAUUGUUACGAAUCCGUCCCCCGCGACAUGCUCAAUUCCUACAGAACAAAUCUUGUUCAGACUGCUCAAUUUUGUACACUUUAGGUAAAUGAUCAAACAACUGUAUCUAUGCAGUUUUCCUACUAGUCGCGUUUCAACUUCAAGAAUAGGAAAGCAUCCUUUCGAUUUGUAAGUAAUAAGUUAAAAUAAAAGAUCAAAACAAAAGAUCAAUACGUACCUGGGUAGGAUGGUGAGCUUUCCACAACUGAAGCCAAAUCAUAGUUGAUACCCUUAAUUGCAGGGUACUUGGUAAUGAUCAUGUUAAGGAUAGAACCAUUGCCACCACCCACAUCCACCAAGCAUUUUACACCUUCAAAUCCAUCAUAUAUGUCCAGAAUUGUCUCCAUAAAUGUAACGUUGAAACUUUUCAUGGAACUGCUGAAUAGCUCACAAAAUCUUGCAUCUUUUUUUAGAUAUUCUGCAGAAUUUAUCCCGUGAGCCUUUUCAAAUGGAAUCCCUCCUUCCAGAACUGCGUCUUUUAAGUGGUACCUGUUGUUAUUUCAUAGUGAAAGAAGAAGAAAAAUCACAAACUAACUAUAGCAACAAACAAUUCGGCAACAGAAAUAGAAUAUAUGAAAAAAGCAAUACUUGUGAAGUCUCUUACCACAUAUCCAUCAUGACAUUGUCAUGAAUCAUAGCUAAAAAGGGACUCAACGAUCCUCCAUCCUGGUUCUUGGUAAAGUAUUUGGCCACAGGUGCUAAUCCAUAUAACCUCUGGGAAUGACCAUCCUGAAUAUUCUUGGUGGACACUGAGCAGUAAGAAUAGAAUGGCUUGCGAGCAGGCAGAGGUUACGGUCUAGCAGAAUAUGGGCUUCCGGGUUGUUUUGUGUGGGAAAUUGAGCGACAAUAUCUGAAGCUGAGAGCAAGGCAUCAGGACCAGCCUUUUCUAUUAUCUCAAACACACCUAGCUCUAUUGCUGCUUUCAAAACCAGAGGCAGCACUGAUGCUCUUGAAAGUUGCAUAGCAUACUGGAGAUGAUAGUCUUCCUCAUAGGUUGAGGUUGCCAUUUGUUAGGUGUUAUUGACCCAUCAAUAUUGCUAGUAAAACUUUCCACGGUGAAUUGUAUCUCCAUCUACAGUAAAAAAAACCACCUUCCACGGUGAAUUGUAUCUCCAUCUACAGUAAAAAAAACCACUGGCUUUUAGUUUAUUUGUUAAUAAUAUAGCUAGAGAACAACAUCAAUAGAGGUGGCUAGAAAACGCUGAUGAGUUGCCAUAUAACUUCUUUUCAACUAAUAAUAUCUCAAUAUAUAAGUCGUCGCUCAUGUUCAAAAUUCUUUGAGAGACCCCUUCAUGGAAGUGAAUCCAAAAGAUUAGACAAAGGAGAUAAGACGUAUAACUUCUCCUAUUUAAAAAUAUGACCAAGAGGACUCUCUCCUUCUCUAAUUUGCAUUAAAGAAAUCAAAGAGAUUGUCUUCAUUACAUACUUUCGAGUUAAAAAAAGAAAAAUAAACAAAGGUUCUGCUGAAAAUGAAACCCUUGAAAACGAAUGUUAAGGAAUAAUUCAAAUGUAGGGACUUAAUUAUAUAUAUAUAUAUAUAUACAACGGAUGUUGUGUCUGACAUGACACUUGGUGACCAGGAAAUACUAGAAAUGAACCACACGCAAAGAAAAGGUUCCAUUUGAAUUAUUGCUAAUUUAUUACUUAUUUAUCACUUUUUUCUUUAAGAAUAAAUUUAAUAUUUAAAUCUAUAUAGUUUCUCUGCCGAAAUAAUUAAUUAAAAUUAAAAAAUAUAAUAAAAUAUCUAGCUUUUCAUUUUAGCAAUCAAUUAGAAAAUUGUGGGGACAAAUUGAAAUUUAAAUGAAAUGGUGGGGUUAAUGUGUGAAUAGUAAAAAAAAAUUGAUUAUAAAAACUCACCCUCUCACUCCUUAAGAAGAAAAAAAAAGGAGAGAAAAACCUCAAUUGUUAAGAGAAUUCUUUGGAAAAAAACCAUUAGAAAGCCAAAGAAUUGAAGAGAGAUUGUGAAACACUUAAUUAGGAGGGAGAAAUGAUGGAAAGGAAGGGAAAUAAAGAGGGGUUGUCAAGAUAGAAGAUGGAAAAGGAGGGACUUGAGAAAUUUUGACAUGUUAAGAUUCAAAGACUAGAUUAAUGUUCAGUAAGGUGUUCAAAAUCUAAUUUAGCAAUUUCAUGCGAAACAAAUAAUAAUUGAGGUAAAAUUCAUGAAAUUAAUGUUAGGAUUUAUGAUAGAAUUUUAGGGAAAAUGUAAAUUGAUGAUAAGUUGAAUCAAUUGGGUUAGAAUAACUUCCAACGGGUGUUAAAUUAUAAGGAAUUAAUGAAGAAAACAUAGUAUCCCUAAAGACAUUUAUGGCCGGUUAAGAGGGUGCCAAUUAAUGUAUAAUGAAAAUGUGUUUAUUUAAGUGAAUUGUGAUUUAUCAAUCCAUAAUUUUCCGUGAGAGAUGAUUUUAGAUGAGUUUAAUUAUAUUAUAUAACAUAAUUGAAUUGAUUAUGUCAUUAUGAAUUGAAAACCUUGAGGAUGGUCAUAGAACUUACAAUUAAGAAUUGUUGUGAUUGGUUGAUUUUGCAUAUAAGAGAGAAAUUAAUGGAAAAUAUACAUUUGAUCUCAUUAUGCUAUUGUUAGUGUGAAAUGUGAUAAAUGUUUGUGAUGAGUUUGAAGUGUAUAUGAUUAUGCUAAUAUUUGUGGAAUAUAAAAUAGUUGUGAAUAUAAAAUGGGAUGUUACAACUUAUAGCUAAAAUCUUAUAGCAUGGGUUUCUAUACUAUUAAUUUAUUAUUAGCUAAAGUGGCAAACUUGUAAUUUUGAGAGAAGUGUGCUUAAUACUCUUCUUGUUCUUAUAACAACUUUUUUUCUCUAUAAACCUUCUCUUAGCUAUUUAUAACAAUGUUGAAAAACACUUGGAAGAGCGAAGUUUCUUAUUCCUUUUUAUUACAUGUGAGUACCAGAUGGUUUUGGUAUUUUCCUAUAUAUACACACUUGAUUUCUAUGUAAGGUUUCUCACAUACUCCUUCUAUUUUAUAAUCUUACAUACUUGACACUUUGAAUUUUUUUUAUUCUAAAAAGCUCGCAUUCAUCUUUGUAUUCACUUGAAAAGCUUUGUAUCCUAUAUGGCAUCAAAUCAAUUCUCACAUUUGUGAGUUAGAUUACAUUCUAUAAAGACAUGAGUUUAUCUAUUGUAAUCUUCUCAUCUUAUACGGAGUGAUCUUUCUCUUAUGAGAGAUAAACAUAUUAUGAAAGUGUAAGUGACACUUAAACUAGUUGGGUUUAUCCUUUGGUAGUGAGCCCCAUAGAGGUUUUCAAUAUUGAUCAUUGUUAUCCAAUAAAAAAGAUUAGGUAAUAGAUUUGAUCCUAAGCUUGUAAGAAGAUCGAGUUUGAUCUUGAGCCUAUAAAAGGAUUAAGUUUGAUUUUGAUCCUGGAAAAUGAUUGUGUAAAUGUUUGGUCUCACUUGUGAAGAAGAUAAUAUGUGAUAGUGAAUACUUAAAUGAAGGUUCAAGAAGUGGAGUAGACAAUUAUCUGAACCACUAUAAAAAUUGAUGUGUCUCUUUCUAUUCUUAUCUCUUUAAAUUUAUGCUCCUUAAUAUCGCUUGGGUGUUUUGGCUAUCUUAGUUUAAUUGGAGAUUAAUACUUUAAAGUUCUAUAAAAUUAGAUAAAGCCUUAAUUCACCCCCUCCUAAGCUUUUUAAGUGUUUCAACUGUUAUCAGGGCAUAGACUCUUUGUUUAAGGUUUGAUCACCUACGAGAAAAGAUCAUGGCAUAAGAAGGUCAAUAAUUAACUAGAGCACUAUUCUUUGAAUGAAGGGAUUAUACCUAUUGGAAAGUUAGAAUACAAACUUUUCUUGAGGUUGUUGAUAUUAAAGUGGGAGAUAUUAUUUAGAGUGGAUAUACUCAACACACAAUAAUAAAUUUGGAUGGAGAAUUGGUUUCUAAACCCAUAAAUGAAUGGGAUGACAAACAAAAACGGCAUGUAUAAUUAUGCUAUUAAGGAAAUUAAUGCAUUCUUUUGUGCUCUUAAUCAUAUAAAGUUUACUAUAGUGAAGAAAUGUAAAACAACUUUUGAAAUCUAGAAACUUUUAAAAGUUACUCAUGAUGGUACAAGUCAAGUUAAAGAGUUUAGAUUGAUAAGUUUAACUAGAAAGUAUGAACUCUUUAAAAUAAAGCCUAAUAAGGGCAUUUAGGAAACACACACUAGAUUCAUUAUAUUUGUUAAUGAAAAAGAAUAUAAGACAUGUGAUAUUCGAAGAUGAUACCAAGAAAAAGAUAAAAGGUAUUGUAAUAUUGAAACAUCUCCCUACUAUUUAGCAUGUUUUACUUAUUGAUUGUUUAAAGUAUAACUUUCUAAACAUAAGUGAAUUAUGUGAUAGGGGUAAUAAAGUUAUUUGUUAAUCAUUACAUUACUUGAUUAUUUUUCUAUUAUCAAAUCAUAAAGAAUAUAUAAUCAUAGAACUCUAGUAGUUGAAGAAUCUAGAAAUGUUGUAUUUGAUAAGUCUAUCCACUACUAGAAAAUUGGCAAAUACAAAUGGAAAUACUGACGAAAUAGUUUCUUGCUAUUUCCCUUGGAAUAUAUCGACAUAAAAUUUAUGUUGGUGUAUACCGAUGCAAUUAUAAUGGGAAAAGAAGGAAUAAAAAAAUUGAUGUGUCAUGCUUAUAGACGGUAUUACUAACAAAAUAAGUCUCCAUUAAUAUUCAUCGGUAAUUUCAUUGGUAAUAUUUAAAUUAUGACAUGGCAAACGACCCUCUCCCCCUCUUUCUUAUUUCUUCUUCUUCCUCCAUUUUCUUUGCAAAUAACAGCAGAACCCGCCCCCUGUUUUAUCGUAAAUCAAACUCUCAUAACCACAAAUUAAGUCACCCUAACACUUAGUCUGUCAACAUCCAUGUUCUGGUUUAUUUAUUUACUUCAAGUAAGAAAAACUACCCAUUUUUUGUUUUAACUCAUUUUUAAAAAGUUAAUUUUUUUUUUCAUUUUGUUGUAGUAUAUGUAGUUUGUUUGUGUGUUUACUUGUUUUAUAACUUUUUCCUAUAAAAAAUUGUUGUAUGAACAUAUAAAUACAUGUUAGGGUUUGUAUGAGAUUUUAAAAGAUUGUGUUUGUUUGUAAUUAUACGAAAUUGAUUUUGAUUUUUUGACUUAGGUGUUUGUAAUGAAAUAAAUAGUGGCUUAUUUAAUGAGUAUGAUUCAUGUUAUAUCAAUUUCAUUGUUAAGUUGAAAAUUUCAGUGAAUAUGGAGGAAUUUGAAUUUUUGUAGAAAAUUAAUAAUGAUGUAAGGGUACUAUUAAAAUCGAUUGAAUAAGUUUGAGUUAAACCAUUGUUAGCUGAUUUAUUUAGUUCACAUAAUUAAUUAAUAAAUAUUGUCAUCAAUAUUCUAUAUAGGUUUGAUAUAAGUAAUGGAUGAUCGUUCUUGGACAUAUCAAGUUUCACCUGAAGGGUUGUGCAUGAUAGAUUAUUGUAAUGAGAUUGAUGAAUAUUAGUGAAUGUGGUAUUAUAUGUUCAUAUAAGAUGUGUAAAAAUAAAAAAAAUUUCUCGAUCUAGAUGUUAUAACGAUGCAUCUUCUAUAUAUAUAUAUAUAUAAAAGAUUAAUGGAGUAAUACUUAUGUUAAUUUGUACACAGAGAACCACAUGUUCUUCCUUACGAUACCAAGGUAGAAAAGAUGGUUUGAUCAACUUCUAGUUCUAACAACGUGCAUGGUGUAAUAAAUGACAAUAGUAAUCCUUAUAGGAAUAUGGUAAUAGAUGUGAUGAGAAUGAGUCAGGGUUAUGUAGGUAAAUGUUCAAUCAUAGAUGAAGAACCAAAUAUAGACAUGACCAAGUUUUUUUUUAUCUUUUGAAAUUCUCUGACGAACCAUUAUAGGAUGGGUACACAAAUCACAAUCAAUUAUUGGUAGUUGCACAAGUGUUCACCAUUAAGUCAGAGCAUGGACUGAAUAAGGCCGGUUAAGAUAGAAUUAUGAUAACAAAGGGAAUAGGUUGAAAGAGAACUUUCAUACUUUUAAAUUCAUGAUGAAACAUCUUAGCCUAGGAUACCAAAAAAAUUAACAUGUGUUGAAACUUCUACAUGUUGUACUACCUUGAAAAUACAGAUUUGACCGAAUGUAGAACCAGUGGGCAUGCUCGUUAUAAACCCAAAACUUGCAAAGAAAAGACUCUUGUUGCACAUAGAAAACUUAGAUACUUCACAAUCACUCUUCGACCACAAAGGUUAUUCUUGUCUCCAAAAACUAUUGAACACAUGACAUGAAAUCAUUCACAUGAUGCGGUGAAUGAAAUCAUAGUGUACCCUUCUGAUGGUGAAGCAUGAAAACAUUUAAAUAGGGUGUAUCCUCAAUUUUUAAUAGAAUCGUUGAACACACAUCUUGGGUUAUGUACAGAUAAAUUCAAUCUAUUUGAUUCAUUUGUUGCAAAUUAUUUUUGGUAUGUGAUACUCAUAGUUUAUAAUUUGCUACUAAGGAGUUUGUACAACUUGCCACUGAAGAGUUCAUGUUUUUAUUUACGGUCAUACCUAGUCCUAAAAGUCCAAGUCAGAACAUAGAUGUUUGUCUUUGACUAUUGAUUGAUGAGUUAAAGCUUUUGUGAUCAUCUAGGACUUUGAUGUGGACUAUCAAUGAUUUUUUUUUAAUGGAAUGGUUUCUAGUUGGAGUAUGGAUGGAAAAUUAACAUGUUCAUACUAUAUAAAAAAUAACAAGGCCUUCACUGUCACAACCCAAAAAAAAACAACAUAUUUAUUUAUAAGAGUUAAUUUUUAUUCGGAGCAAUUUUUUAUGUUUUACUAAAAAUUCAGCAUAAUUUCCCCUGUAACGGGACCAUAUCAAGUUAUCGACAUCUUCAUUCCUGACACAAUUCAUAUCAUAAUUAUGGUCCAAUCAUCUUGAACCUCAUUCCCAAUCAAUACAUCACAAAAAUAAUAGACAUGUAUUGUCCAAUAAUGAAGAUGCAAUCAAUAAAAACAAAAUACAUAAAUAAUUCUAAGGUUUACAUAACUUGCAAAAUUAAUUGAUUCUAAGAAAAAGAAUAAAAACUUAGAUUAUGAAUGUAAUGCGCCCAUUAUUUUAUCCGGGACAAUUUCUUAGUUAAAUAUAAAAAUUUGGGGUAAAAUCUUCUCUCUUUUUUUUAUCAUUCUAACAUUUCUAAUCAUAUAAGCAACUAUGAUAAAAUGCAAAUACUUAAUAUAACACAAAGAUAUUUUUAAGUAUGACAUUCACAUUAAUUACAUAUAACAAUUUUGUUCUACAAAUAAAAAAGUUCAUUCAACCUCUUUUACGUCAUUCAUUAAUCUCAAAAUACAUAUUGAUCAAUAUAAAUACACAAAAAGUGUCAUAUAUUCAAACAGGAUCUAUUUUACUGUUGCGAGGGUCCUGAAAAUAAGAUUAACAUUUUAUCAACAUAAUUAUCAAUAAAUGCAAUGUAUCAUUUCACUAUACCCAUAUAAAAAAAAUUUAUCCUAUAUAUUUUAUUAUGAAUCAUUAAUAUCUUACACCUCCAUAUUCAUCCAAUUAAUUCCAAUCUUAGCCAUUUCGCAGGGGUGCUACUCCAGUCGCCCAAUUACCGGGCAUUAGUUCAUCCGCCCAAAUGUGUUUAUUCACCCAAUUACCGGGCAUUAGUUCACCCGCCCAAUUACCGGGCAUUUAUUCACCCAAUUACCGGGCAUUAGUUCACCCGCCCAAUUACCGGGCAUUUAUUCACCCAAUUACCGGGCAUUAAUUCACCCGCCCAAUUACCGGGCAUUAGUUCAUCCGUCCAAAUGUGUUCAUCUGCUCAAUUACCAGGCAUUAGUUCACCCGUCUAAUUACCGAGCGCUAGUUCAUCCGUUGACAUCAAAACAUAAAUUACAAAAUUUCUAAUUAAAAUUAACACAUGUUUUUCAAUUAAUCUCUCUAUAAAAUUCAAGAUGUCGGACACCUACCUACUGGUGAUGCUCGACUAGUAGCUCCUUGUUGAUGUUUGGAGCCUCCAACCUCUCUUGUUUCAUUUAAAAGAUCACAUGAUUUCAAUACUUUAUUAUCCAAUAAUUUACUUGAAACUUCUCCACAUAGUAAAAUUUUCAAUCAAUACAAUUUUAAUACCCAAAAUUAAUAUCAUUAUUUUUUUUCAUGUUCUAUAAUAAUUCCACAAAUAAUUCUUACAAUGUUACAUCCAUCUAAACUUUUAAUUCAUCACAAUUAUAAGGGAAUCUUAUAUUAUUAUUAAAAUUUCCCAAUAACUAUAGGAAAUUUAAUUCCUUUACACCUAAUUCAACACAUCAUUUCAUUAUUAUUAUUUUCACUAUUUAAAUGCAAUUCAUUAAUUUCUUCAAGAUUGAAGUUUUAUUUCUUAUAUUUUUCAUGGCUAAAAUCACCUUUCUAAUAGGAGGAUAAAUUCAUUUCUACUCUAAAUUUUAAUCCAUCAUCCAAAUUCAAUUCAUCCUUUUAAGUCAUGAAAAAUCUCCAAUUACAUCAAUUCAACCCACCCCUCAAAAUUCUUUACCCUUGCCCAAAAUUCAAGUAAAAAAAUGAUGACAUGAUAAUUCUUCAACUUUCACUUAAUUUUAACCCAUUUAUUUAUUUUAUUUUAUUUUAUUUUUUUCAUGCCAACAUACAAUACUCUAGCACAACUUCAUAAAUUACAUCCACCAUUUCUAUUUAUCUAAGAGUUCCAUAAUCACAUAUAAUAAUAACUAAGUAUCAAUUUAUAAAAUUUCACUAAUCAACAUAAUAAGAUCAUAUUUACACAUAACAUAAUAAGGGAUCAAUAGCAAAUCCAAGGUAGAAACCACUCUUUUUCCUCCUCCAUCUUCUUUUCUCUUCUUUUUUUUCUUCCUUUUUUUUUACAAAUUAACCUAAUUAAUGACGAGCCCAAGCAUUUAUCCCCUCAAUAAACUUAUAAUCAACAUAAAUUCAUGCAUUCAAACCACCCUAACAUCAAGAACCCACCUUCACGUAAUACCAAUUCUACUCAAUCCAAGAACAAACAUGAAAAACAACACAAUGGAUCAUCAUGGAGAGUUUUCUUACCCUUAAGGAAUGAAGAAUCAAAAGCCAAAACAAGUUGAAUCAAUUAAGUUCUCAUUCACACUUUCCUCUAAGCUCAAUCUUUCCUUUUCUCUAAAAAAUCACUUAAAAUCUUUAAACUCCUUGUAGGCUCCUUAAUGUAUCAAACCCUCUCUUUAAAUACGUAACACUCUUUCUAACUUACACUUUUUUUUCAAGCAAUUUCUAUGAAAGAAGACAAAAACCAUCUUUUUCACAUUUUCUUCUCUUGGAUGGUUGCACACUCCCUCUUUUUUUCCUUCUUUUUUUCAUUGCUGGCAGCUUAUAAAGAGGGUUGUUUUGGGCAAAUUUUCAAUAUGGUCCCUAAAGAAAUUUCUAGACACUCAUUUAUGCUAUUUGUUCUUUUAUCUAAAACAAAAUCUUAUCAUACUCCAAAAAUUCUAAAACUUUAACCUAAGUUAAAAUAAUAUUUUAUAAGACUCUAGGCAAAAUUUCAACUUAAUCUAAUGAUCAUAUUGAAAGUUAUAUGCUACAACAUAAAAUUAGCCGAUUUGUGAUUUUUCGUCAAAAACUCAAAUUUUCAUAUUUCAUACUUAUACAAAUCAUAUCAAUUAAUUUACUCAGUUCUCGAGACCAUUUUUUUUUUAUCUCAAAUAUAUAUAUACACAUACCAGGGUUUACAUUCACCCUAAUAAAUUAUGGUAAAAUAUCUUGUUUUAUUGCCACCAACGGUUCUUGCCAACCUAUCACAAGUACAGAAAGAACAAAAAUAAUUUUUUUGUUGGUAGAGUUGAAAGGGAUGUUGCACCAUCAGUACCGUCGGGUGAAAAAUUUUAUAACGUGGUAUCAUAUUACGAUUACAUUAUGUUUGGUUUUCAAUUCGACAAGCAGAAAGUUUCAUGGCUUUGGUGUGCCUAUAAUUGGAUAAAGCAAAGUAUUUUAUGGGAGCUUUCUUAUUGAAAGACUAAUCUCCUCCGCUAUAAUCUUGAUGUUAUGCAUAUUGAAAUGAACAUGUUUGAAAAUAUUUCGAACAUGGUUAUGAAUGUGUAAGGGAAAUCAUAGGACAACAUUACUAAUGCUAGAAUGGAUAUAUCUUUGUUUUGUCAUUGUAGUAAUAUGGAGUUGGUUCAUAAUAGGUCAUAAAUCACAAAGCUCAAAGCUAGCCUCACCUUAUACAAAAAUGCAUAGUUAUUUAUCUACGAAUGACUUAAUAGUCUGUGUUUUUCUAAUGGACAUGCUGCGAACAUAUCUAGAUUUGUGAAUUUAAAGGAUUGCAAAUUGUAUAGAAUGAAAAGUCAUGGCUAUCAUGUGUUUAUACAAACACUCAUUUCAUUUUCUUAUCGGGAUUUAUUUCUAAAGAGAAUAUGAGAUGCACUUACGGAGAUCAAUUACUUUUUUAAAAGAUAUAUGCUCUAACUAGUUGCAUACCUAACAUAUUGAGAUGCUUGAAACGAAUAUCAUUCAGACUUGAGAUAAUAUUCCCUCCAUCUUUCUUUGACUCAAUGGAGCAUCUACCCAUAGAUUUACCAUUUAAGGCAAAAGUCAGAGGCCUUGUCCAAUAUAAAUGGAUGUAUCCGAGGUUAGGGAUUACACAUGUAUCCUAAUUAAAUUUGUAUUGUUUUUUUUUUAAUUUAAAACAUCCAUUUAAUCAUAUAUAGAUACUUUUCAACCUUAAGAGAAAAGUAAAAUACAAGUCGUAAGUUGAGGUUUCGAUAUACGGGGCUCAUAUUAUUGAAGAGAUCUCGAUAUUUAUCUCAUACUAUUUUAAGCCUCACUUAGGAACAAGAAUUAACCACGUUUCAAGACAUGAUGAUGGUGUGAAAGUGCCUUUGAGUAGGAAUUUAUUAAUAUUUUUCCAUCUUGGACGACCUAUACCAAAAAAUACAGUGAGGGAAAGAUACUUGACAAAAAUCAAAAUCAGGCAAGUACAUAAUUAUGUGAUAUUUAACUGUGAUGAAUUGAGACCUUUUAUUCAAUAAAUACAAUAAUUAACAUGUUGUUAUCUUCUAACAAUUUUUCUUUUAUACUCUCAUAAACUAAUAAAUUGAAUAAUUCAUCGUAUGCAACAUCAUCACUUUUAUUAUCUCAAAACUCACACCCGAUUGAAUCUUAAAUUUUUUAAUUACUAAAUGAAUAAUUUUUCAUGUGGUUUAAAACACAUAUAAGCACUGCUUAAUUAUUAUUAUAUAUUAUAAAACUUAAUUUCAUUACACCUUUCUCUUUAAAUGUUAAUUGUUGUCAUCUUAUACUGGGUUUAUCGAUUGUGAUGGAAUGUUAGUGGUACUUUGAAUUUAUUGUGUUUGGGUCCAGAAAGAAAAAUUAAGUGCAAUAAUGAAUAUUUCAUCAAUGAAAUUGUCUUUCAUACUAUAUAAAAAGUAUGGUCAUAGUAUAAAGACAUAUAACAAUGAGUUUAUGUUAAGGGAUCGACUUCUAAUGAGUUUGAAGUUAAUUAUUAUAGGAAGUUAAAAGAGAUGAUUGAAUUGCAAUAUCAUAGCGAGUAGAAUAAAAUCUUUUUAUUGAAAUGUUAUUGGUUUGAUACCACCGAUAAAGGAAUCUGAGUAGAUCCAUAUCAUAGUUUGGUUAAAAUUAAUACAAAGGCUAGACUUUAUAACGUCGACGACGUCUUUGUUUUCUCCAAAUAAUGCCAACAAGUUUAUUACAUAUACACUUCUUUCUUUAGAAAAGAUUGUUCAAGAUUUGAUUGGUUAUCUGAAAUAAAACUAAAUCUAGGGGUCGUGUUCAAGUUAUUCAGAAUGGUAACAAUAAAGUCACUAUGGGAGCUAGUUGUGGUGGUGGUUACAUUACGAGUGUGGAGACAUUACUUACAUGGGUCUCGUGUUCAAAUUUUUAUGGAUCAUAAGAGUCUAGGGUAUUUUAUGACAUAGAAGGAAUUAAAUAUAUGGUAGAGAAGAUGGAUAGAAUUAAUUUAGGAUUUUAACUGUGUAAUAAAUUAUCACCUAGGAAAGGCAAAUGUUGUUACCGAUGCCUUUAUUCAUAAGAACAAGGCAGUAAUGAAGACAUUAGAGGACAAGAAUGAAAGAGAGUUUACGGAAUUAAAAAUUUUGAUGCUAAGAUUGAGGUAGGGCCUGAGGUCUCAUUGUUGGCUCAAUUAAGAGUAUAAUCUGUACUUCAGGAUAGAGUCUUGGAAGUUUAACGAAAAGAUGCUCAAAUGGAUAAAAUAAGGAAUAAGAUGGAAUUAGGGGUUGAGAGACCUUUCCGGAUUUUGAAGGAUGGGAUGGUAAUGAUGGGUAGACAAAUGUAUCUACCUGAAGAAAAAACUUUAAAAGAGGAAGUACUAAGAGAAGCUCAUGAAUCAAGAUUUGUAGUACACCCGAGAAAUACAUAGAUGUACAUAGACUUAAAUUUUUUUAUUGGUGGCCAAAUAUAAAGAAAGAAAUUGCUAAGUUUGUGGCUAAGUGUGGAAUUUUCCAGUAAGUAAACAUGGAGCAUUAGAAAUUAGUUGGACCUCUUCAACCACUAUUGAUACCUAAAAGAAAAUGGAAAGACAUCAUUAUGGACUUUGUGUUGGGUUUGCUAAAGGGAAGAAAGGGUAGUGAUGCAAUUUGGGUUAUGGUAGAUCAUUUGAUUAAAUCAACACUUUUCUUGCCUCUGAAGAAGAAAGACUUUGUGUUGGGUUUGCCAAGGGGAAGAAAGGGUAGUGAUGCAAUUUGGGUUAUGGUAGAUCAUUUGAUUAAAUCAACAUUUUUCUUGCCUAUGAAGAAGAAAGACUUUGUGUUGGGUUUGCCAAGGGGAAGAAAGGCUAGUGAUGCAAUUUGGGUUAUGGUAGAUCAGUUGAUUAAAUCAACACUUUUCUUGCCUAUGAAGAAGAAAGACUUUGUGGAUAAAUUAGCUAAGUUGUAUGUUAGAGAAGUGGUAUGGGGUACCAAUAUCGAUUAUUUUUUAUCGAGACUUUAGAUUCAUCUCACAAUUAUGGCUAAGUAUUCGAUGUGCUUUAGGGACAAAGGUAAAUUUAAGCAUACCUUUUCAUCCAUAGUCAGAUGGGCAAUCAAAGAGAACAAUCCAGACUUUAGAAGAUUUAUUAAGAGCCUACAUAUUGGAAUUUGGGAGAAAUUAGGAAGAACACCUGUCAGUAGUAAAAUUCACUUACAACAAUAGUUAUUAGUCUAUAGUAGGGAUGACCUCCUAUGAAGCUUUGUAUGGUAGGAAGUGUUGAACCCCUGUUUGCUGGGAAGAAAUUGGAGACAGGAAAUUGAUAGGACCAGAAUUGAUGCAAAUCACUUCAGAAAAGGUGAAAAUUAUAAGAGAUUGAAUGAAAGCUGCUCAGGACUAGUAGAAAAGUUAUGUAGAUGUCAAAAAAAGGUAUCUUGAGUUUAAUGUUAGAGAUUUGGUGUAUUUAAAGGUUGCUCCCUGGAAGCAUAUGUUAUGGUUUGGUAUCAAAGGAAAAUUAGCGUUGAGGUAUAUUGGACUAUUCAAAGUGGUGAAGAGAAUUGGACCAAUGACAUAUAAGCUAGCUCUACCUUUAUAUUUAGUCAAGAUAAAUGAUGUAUUUCAUUUUAUUAUUGCAAAAGGCUGAUGUAGACCCUUCCCGAGUACUACCACAAGCUCCACUAGAGAAAAAAGAAGACUUGGCCAUGGAAGUAAAACAAAUAAGGAUUCUGGAUCAAAGUGAAAAAGAGUUGAUAAAUAAAAAGACUCAUAUGGUGAAAGUACUAUAGAGAAUUCUUAAGUCAAAGAAGAAACAUGGAAAAGAGAAUCAGAGAUGAAAAAGAAACAUCCAAAAUUAUUUAAAAAACAAGGUAUGGAAAUUAAAAUUUCAAUGUAAACUACAGGCUUAAAUUUUUCAAAAAUAUAAAAUAAAUGGGAUAAAUGAUGAUUAUAAUAUGUCUAGAUGGAUAUGAAUUGUAAACCCCGGGAUAAAUUAAAAAAAUAAUAUAAUAAAAAGUAUGGUGUAAUGAAAUGAAAUAAGAAAAAGAAAACAAAAGAGGUUCAUGGUUGAAAAUGUUCAUUUUUCUAGUAGCUAAAAUGGUCUAGCCAUUUUGAGAAAUGGCUAGACCAAUUUGAUAAGGUGGUCUAACCGUUUCUUAAAAUGAUCAAACCAUUUUGGCUAUUGCCCCCUUAAAACUAAUGGGGUGCAGUUAAGGGAGAAAGAGGGAAAAUUCAUUUCUUUUUCCUUUUUUUCGCCUUAAAGGGCUAAAGAGUAAGGUCUAUGAGUGAAAAGAGAGGGUUUUGAGAGAGAAAAACACAUUCAUACCAGAAAUUAAGAAAGAUUAAAGAGAGAGAAGAUUGAGUUAGAGAGAAAAAGUGAAGACAGAAGAGGAAAAUGUGUAGAAACGUGGAAAAUUUUGACUAGUUAGGAUUCAAAGACUAGAUUAUUGUUUGGUAAAGAGUUCUAAACAUAAUCUAACAAUUUCAUAUGAAAUGGAUAACAAUUGAGAUUGAAUUCAUAAAAUUAAUGCUAGGGUUCAUAGCGAAAAUUUGAGGGAAAUGUAAAUUGACUAUAAAUUAAACAAAUUGGGUUAGAUUAAGUUGUGUUAAGUGUUAAAUUGUGUAUAAUUAAUGAAGAAAAUCAUGACGUCCUUAAAGGCCCAAUGACCUACCAAUGAGGGACUAAAUUGCAUGUAAUAAAUUGUGUAGUUAAGUGAAAUUAUGGUAAAUUAGUGUAUAAUUGUGCAAGGAAAAUGAUUUUGAAAGAAUUUAGUUACAAUAUAAAGUGUGAUUGUAUGAGAAUGUGAUUAUAAUUGUGGUAUAUGAAAUAUGGUAUAAUUGUAAAUUACGUUAAUAUUUAUGUUUUCCAUGAAGUAGUUCUGACUAUUGGAUUGAUGGUUCCUAAAAGGUUGGAAUUAAAGAUAUUAUAGCAUAUAUUGAAGGAAAAUGAAUGGAAUGAGAAAAUGAAAAUUAAAGUUAAUGAGAAUUGAUUUAGAAAUUAAGGUUAAAUUGAAAGAAGUAAACCUAGAAUAUUAUUAUGUGUGUCAUAACCUAAUUUUUGAAUUUUUUUUCAAAAAUAGAUAAAUAAAAAAUGAAUGAAUGAAAAUAAUUUGAGAAUUGGGUUAAGACAAUACAAAUUGAAAGUUUGAGGACUAAUAAGGAUAAUUAUAAAUUUGGGAGUCAAUUUGGUCAAAAAUUGAAAGAAUUGAUAAGUUUGAAAACUUAAUUAAACUUUGAUUUAAUUAAUUAAGUAAAGCAAUUAGGGGCUUAAUUGAAAAAAUAAUAAAGUUUGGGGUUGAUUUGGGUUGAAAUUGUAAGGAAUUAAAGUCCAAGAACCAAAGUGAAUAGAUGGUGAUACUAUAGGGGGUUAAUUGAUUUUUAAGGGUAAUUUUGAAAGAAUUAAAAGUUGAAGAGCUAAUUAAGGACUUAAUUGAUUAAUUCGGAAACUAAGGAUUGUUUUGUAAAUGACAUUGAAAUCCAAGGGGGCAACUGCAAUUGAUCCAGGGGAAAAAUUAUAUAUAUAUAUAUAUAUAUAUAUAUAUAUAAGAGAAGAUUUCCAUGAAUAAGAACCCAAUUGCUAAAUGUUAGAACUUCAGGUGGGCAAAUUGAAAAUAGCCAUUUCAGUUGAAAACGACGCCGUUUAAAAAAUAGUGUUCAUCACCAUCUUCUUCAUUCCACCGGUUCAACAAGAAGGAAAAACUGCAGCGAAACCCAUUCGUAACACAUUUCCUACGAUGUAUCUUCAAAAGUCAUGGCCAACAGUCCCGUAAUGGUAGGACUGUUACUCCCUUAUUUUUCCUCAAAUAGGGACCAAUGUGCCCUUUGAAGCACAAACAAAGGGGCAUUCUCUUGCUUUAUAAAAGCCAGAGAAAGGCCAUUAAGAGGAGAAAAAAAGACACAGAAGCAAACACAGACAGAAAAACUGAGAACGAGAGAUAAAACCAAAAACUGACAGAAAGAAAAACACAAAGAAAGAAGAACAAAGAGAGACAGGGAGAAUAAGAUAAAGCAAAAAAAAAAAUCAAAGAGAGAAAAAAGAGAACAAGAGAGAAGUGAACGAAAAACAAAAGCAGAGGGGAAGAAAGUAGCAUUGGACAACCAUUGCACCGUUGCCAUCAUCUUCGCCUCCAGCAUCAUCUGAAACCAGUAAGUUUCAUCUCUUCCCCGCUUUGUAUCUUCAAUUCGCUUUGUACCUGUGCACUAUGCAGAGCACACGUGAAUAAUUCACGCAUGCAUGCCACUUCGGCCAGCCAGGUCACUAGCGUGGGCCAAUGACCAGGUCGGGCUGGCUGGGUUGAGCCUAGCCUGUACGGCUGGGCUAGAUCUAGAGUCAGGAAUGUUAUAAGCAGACCAUAAAAAACAAAACAAAACAAACCCUUAUCAAUUUAUGAUAAAACCAACAAUAUAGCCUACCUCAAGUAGGACGUUUAAGGAGUAAUAUUAUCUUUUCUUUUGUGUAACCAGACUUGUACCAUAAAAUAUCCAUCGACCAGUGGAUUCCUAGUGACCAUAAUACUAGGUGACAACUCCUUAAACAAGAGUUUUCCCCUAUGAGAACAAGAUGUCAGAUAUCUGUUCUUUUUUAAAAAAAUUAAAAGGUCGUCGCAAUGUCGGGUGCAACAAAAUGGCGACUCCACUGGGGAAACUUAUUGGACUAAGCUUUGUCUUUUAUUUGUCAAUUGUUAUGAUGUUUGUUAUGUUGUGUUUAUGUGGUUAUCACUUUUUACUGCUUUAACACGGAUCCUUAUUGUCAUGGAUCACUUUAAGAGCACACACCUUAAAUUUUAAAAUAGAUGGGGAAGUAACGAUACCCCAAUGGCUUUAGCCUAGGCAAUACUCUUGAAACCAUCCAACUCUUGCCUGAUUGUUUACUUGGAAGUGGUUGAUAUGCCGAUUUGAUAUUAUUCAGGGCCUUUAUUUUCACACUCCUUGUAAGUCUUAUAUCAACCUUUCAAGGACGAUCACUAAGCAUGCGAGAAACCCAUUGAGACUAGGUAGUAAACUACCCUUUGAUGCACUUAACGACUAGAACCUACCCACUAAGUUGUACCAUGUGUAAUCUCACUAGGGAAAGCUCAACAUAUGGCAUCUUGAAUUCCAAAACCAUUGGGUGGCAAAUGGUCAUCACAUAGGAUACAAGAGUCUGAGUUGUUAUAGUUGACAAAAGGGAAAUUAUUUGAAUUAAAAGCCAAAAGGUUUAUUAAAAGCUCAAACUUAGGUAGGACUGGACAAAAAUCCCCUAAUUGGCAUGAUAAUGACAUCUGGUUCCCAAAACUCAUGAAUAAACAAUCGUUGUCACCCCGUGAAGGGCGAGUCCACAUUGAACAUACCUUUUUCUUUUGCUUAAUUACAUGAUUUUCAUUUACCAGGUUGAAAUAUAGGUUCUCCAUUGAAACAUACCUAUAACACUCGACUGUAAAAAGGAUAAAUGGAAAACAAAGAAAGAGCCCAGUUGGAAGUCCAACACCAAAAAAAGUUGGAAAGUCUUAAAAAAGAAGUCGCAAUGCUUACUAGUCUACUCAAACAGGCCUUGGAUAUAAAUCCGGAGAAGCAACAUUUACAACUCAACCUCCACAUAUGUCUACAACUCCCUUCAAUCCAUAGAAUCUGGGGGUAAAUGAGGUGCUAUCUGAAUUUCAAUAGGCUACAUAUUUAUAAUUUGCUCAACCAACAUAUUCCAUAAGAAUGUCAUUUACCAUUGACUUUACAAUGAAGAAAUUUUAAAAAGACAAGAUGGUAAAAGAAGAUGGUCUGGAAAAAUUAAUUGCCCUAGAGAAAAGGAUGAGGGCAGUUAAGGGAACUAGCAUAUAUGAUCCCAUAAAAGCUGUUGAGAUUUGUUUAGUGCCCAACGUGGUCAUUCCCAUAAAGUUUAAAGUGCCAGAAUUUAUUAAAUAUACUGGAACUCAAUGCCCUGAUAGGUCAUGUUCAAGUUAUACAUAAACUCAUCUCAAAGUAUACUACAACAAAAUGGUUGAGGUGGUUAAUGAUGAGAAACUGUUGAUUUACUUCUUUCAAGACAAUUUGAGUGAUGCUGCCCUUACUUGGUAUAUGUGAUUGGACAAUACCAAGGUGAAAAAGUGGAAAGAUUUAGUUGAUGCUUUCAUUAGGCAAUAUAAGUUCAAUAUAGACGUGAACCCUGAUAGGUCAAGCUUGUAAGCUAUGGAGAAGGACAAAAAAGAGUUUAUAAGAGAAUACGUCCAAAGAUGGCGUGAGGCCGCUGGACAUGUUAAACCUUCUUUGUUGAAAAUGAGAUGAUCAGUUUAUUUUUGAACACCUUUAAGACCAUGUACUUUAAAUAUCUGGUUAGAAGUUCUGCACAAUGUUUUAUUGACCUGGUUAUUAUAGUUGAAAGGAUUGAACAAGCUAUCGGGUUAGGUAAGAUUGCUGACCCGACUAAAAAGAAAAAUUUCAUUGGAAAAAUAAAGGAAACUGAGGUUCAAAAUACCAAAGAUGAUACCAAAGGCAUGCCCAAAUCAAAAUAAAAAGUGAUAGUCAAAUCAAAAUGAUUAUGCCUCGGUCAAAACAAUGAAAAAAAAAGUGAAUCAAAGAAAGAGAUUGAAAGAUAUAAAGAGUCAAGUUGAUGAUAGUGACUCUGAGUUUUUGAAACCUUGAAACAUUUUUUUGAGCAUUAUGAAUCCUUUUUUUUUCAUGGCCAAGAACCAUAGCCUAAGUUACGUGCCUUUGAAAUUCCUUUCUAAUUAAGCAAGCAAGCGAUUUGGAACAAUAAACAACGUUUUUUAAAUGCAAAAGAUACUUUUUCAUAAUAGUCAUGACAUCAAGAACAAACUACACAUUAUUAUUCAUGCUGAUAAAAUAAGUGUUCAAAAAGAGACAACUUUUUCUCAAACAAAACCUCGAGCCUUUUCUCAAGCCCUUUUGCUUUGGAACUCACAAAAAUAAAAGGUCACCUCAUGAUAUACCAUCACCAAUGACAAUAUCGCCUACACAAAAACAAGUUAUCUCCUUUCCAAAAAUAAUCAUGGAGUUGUAAUUUCAAAAACAAAUUGUUUUAAACUCAUAUCGAAACAAUUUUUGUUUUCAAAAUGCAAGAUGAAGAUUUCAAAGUUCAUUCUGGGUAAAGAUUCUUUCACCAAAACCAAAAAAAAGAAAGGAGAGAACGUUUAUUCAAAACCAUCAUUUGUUUGAGUCACUUAUGGAACACACUUAAGGGCAAUGGCCAGCACAAAGGGGCAAUAUUACUCUUAAAAGAGGAUUUGAUCUCUAUGGGUAACAAUAAAAAAAGAAAAAGGAAAGAAACAUUUUCUACAACGAGACAAGGGGACAUUUUUGUUUACAAAAGGCAAUUUGAUCCUUUCAAGAUAGCUAGUAACAAGGGGAGUAACAAAUGAUCUCCUUAAGAUGAUCAAUAAGACAUAGUAUGUCUGACAAGUAAAUGGGUCAUGAUUGGCACCAUAAAGGCUGAGUUGGAAAAAAUGCAAAUAUUAUGGAAAAUGACUUACAUGGGCCAACACGAGUGGACUAAAAACCGAGCGACAAAGAGGACUCAAAAUCAGAAAUGGCAAGACUUCAUCAAUCAAGCAACAAAGAGAUUGAAAAGAAAUAAGGGCCUAUAUUUUAAACUAGGUAAAGAUGUAUGCAUGUCAUCUAACCCUGAAGCAUUGAACAAUGUGUUUUGCAAAAAUUCACAAGAGAAAUCCCCGAUAAAAUCCAUCAAAAGAAAGGUCGCCUCGAAAUAGGCUAAAAAUUCAAAACACUUUUGAAAUUUUUUCUUUUUUAAGAAAUUGUUGACUUAGGGAGGCCUGUCCAUGAGAAUUAGACCACCUGAAAAAUCUUUGUAUUUUUCAAAUGGGUAAGUCACCCAUCAUCAUGAGACCCUUCGAGUUUUUUCACUUAGGUAGAUCGUCCAUGAGAAUUAGAUCAACCUAAAAAAAAUCUCUUCAUAUCUUUCAUCAAUGGGAAGGUCACCCUUCACAAUGAGACAUUUCAAGUUUUUCCCCUAGGCAGUUCGCCUAUAAGAAUUAGACCACCUUGAAAACAAAUCUUCAUGCCUCUCACCAAUGGGUAGGUCACCCAUUACAAUGAGAUCAAUGUUGAAAAACUUUUAUGUAGUUUUCACCAACGAGCAGGUCGUCUGGAAUAAUUAGACCACUUCUAAAAAAUCUUUAUAUUUUUCACCAACAAGCAGAUUGCCUGAAAUAAUUAGACUACUUCCAAAAAAUCUUUAUAUUUUUCAUCAACGGACAGGAUGCCCAUGAGAAUCAGGCCACUUGAAAAAUCUUUAUAUGUAUCAAUUUGAAAAGUCAUCAAUUGCAAUGAGACCCUACGAGUUUUUCAACAGGCAGAUCACCUGGAACAAUUAGACCACUUCCAAAUUUUUUUUGUAUUUUUCACCAAUAGGCAGGUUGCCUGGAAUAAUUAGACCACUUCUAAGAAAUCUUCAUAUUUUUCACCAACGAGUAGGUCGCCCGAAAUAAUAAGACCACUUUCAAGAAAUCUUUGUAUUUUUCACCAACAGGCAGGUCGCCUAUAAGAAUUAAGUCACCCAAAUUUUUUUUGUAUUUAUCAAUUUCAAAAGUCACCCAUCACAAUGAGACCCUUUGAGUUUUGCAACGGGUAGGUCGCUUGGAACAAUUAGACUACUUCCAACAAAUCUUCGUAUUUUUCACCAGCAGGCAGGUUGCCCAAAACAAAGAGAAAAUGAAUUGAUGAGAUUUUUUUUAUAUUGUAUAAAAGUUGGGUGAUGAUAUUUGUUUUUCAUGUGAGGUUGAGUUGAGUUGAAUUUCUUUUCUCUUGACGUUAGGUCCUACUAGCUUUUCUCUUAUUUAAUUGUUUUUCAUAUGGUAAAGAGAAAAUAAAUUGAAAGGAUUUUUUUUAUAUUAUAUAAAAGUUGAAUGAUGAUAAUUUUUUUAAUUUGAGGUUGAGUUGGGUUUAAUUUCUUUUCUUUUACUGUCACUAGAUAAAGUUGUAUCCUGCUGCUUGGGAGAACCUAACAAUGCUGGAUUCUGCUACCACUAGGAUACAAACAGCCCUCUCAAAAUUCUUCAACUGUUUCAUGGUUCAAAGUUCAAUGAUACAAGGAGAAAUUGAGUAACAAAAGAAAAGAGAACUGUUAGGGAAAAAGCAAUUAGUCAACUGUAAGAAUUGAAAGCGAAAUUUAUAGUGAUUUCUUAGUGCUCAGUUCAGUUGGCUAGGGUGUGCAGUAAAAGCAGAAAAGGUAUUAUGAUUUUUUUUUAAUUUAAUAUAGGUAUUCGGAUCAGCUUACACGCAGCUCGACUAAGAUAUUUAAUACUAUUAAUAAGUGAAAUUUAGAAAAAAGCACACAUUCUAAGCAAGGGAUUCAAAGUUGGAUGAGUUGAGGUUAUUUAUUUGUUUUUUUAAUUUAAAUUAAUAUUAUUUAAUAUUUUUAUAUUAUUUUGAUAUGAUGAUAUAAAAAAAAAAUUUAAAAAUUAAAAAAAUAUUAUCUCAAUAAUUUUUAAUUUUUUUAAAUAAUCAUUACGUAAUAAUAUAAUAGCUAACAUAUUGGCUCGCGUUUCAUAGGGGUCAAUAAUAAAAUUUUUUGCAAAAGUAAAAUUACUUGAGUUGGAUUAAAAGCAUAUAAUAUAUUUUCAAUAUCACCAUCUUUAAAUAAAAUAUUUUCUAUAAUAGCAUCAUGAAUAGUACAUAGCAUAGCAGCACCCAAUACACUUGCAACUAAUUUCUUUCUCUUUAAUUUUUUUUCUUUUAAGAUAUUUUCAAUUUUAUUUUUUUCUCUUUAAUUUUUUUUCUUUUCUCUUGUUGAAUUUUUUUUUCAUACUGUAAAGAGAAAAUAAAUUGAUGUGAUUUUUUUUUAUAUCGUACAAAAGUUGAGUGAUGAUAAUUUUUGUCAUUUUUAGGUUGGGUUGAAUUUUCUUAUUAAAGUAUGUUUGUUUUUGUGUUUCAAAAAUGCUACUAAAAUAUAUUUUUAUUUUUUUUCUUUAUUUUAAAUUAAUAUUUUUUGAUAUUUUCAUAUUAUUUUGAUGUGAUGACAGACCCACGGUGCCAAGUCAUUUAGUAGAGUAGCACCCAAUACACCGACAUCUAAUUUCUUUCCCUUUAUUUUUUUUCUUUUAAGAUAUUUUCAAUUUUAUUUUUUUCAUUUUUAAAUUUUUUUCUUUUCUCUUAUUGAUUUUUUUCAUACCAUAAAGAAAAAAUAAAUUGAUGUGACUUUUUUAUAUUGUACAAAAGUUGGGUGAUAAUAAUUUUUUUAAUUUUAGGUUAAGUUGAAUUUCCUUAUUAAUGCAUGUUUAAUUUUGUGUUUCAAAAAUACUUUUAAGAAAAAUUGAUUUUUUUUUUACUUCAAAUAAAUAUUUCUUUGCUAUUGAGUGUGGCUCGCAACCAUACAUAAUAGCAUUUGAGUUUUUGGGUCUGGUUCUGCAACCAGGCUCAAUACCUUCGAGGCAAGACCCAAUAACAUUUGGAUCUAACUUUGCAGUCAGAUCCAAAAAUAUUAAAUCGGGCUCUAUGACUGAUCUAAUAGUGUGGAGUACUGUUUCCAAGCAGGAACCAAUAAUACAAGAUCCAAUAACAUUAGGUUAUGUCUUUAGCAUGACUCAAAAGCUACUUGGUUGGUUGUUACACUCAAUACUAUUGAGUUUGUUUUUAUAACCAGAACAAAGAUUAUUUUAGAACGGACAAUCCAGAUUCAAAACGCUUUAUAUAUUUUUUAUACUUUUCAAAUUCUUUUUAUAUUUUAAAAAAGUUAUUAUUAACCCGGUACGGAUAUGCUCGAGCAGUAUGCUAUUAUCUAUAUAUAACGAUGCUUCCUUAAUUUAUGUAAAUUUUCUAUCAUAACGGUUAAAAAAAACACAGCACAGUGUCUGAAUGAAUUGGGUUAUCGUGGCGUCAUCUGAGCCGUAUAUAAAAAACUUGUGAAUCUUGACCACAUGCAUAUUUUAAUAGGAAUGCUAAAUAAUAAUAAUAAUUAAUAUUUAAUUGAUUAAACUAAAAGGUUAACAAGGAACAAGAAAGCCAAGACGCGAAUUAAAAUACUCAACUCCCACGUGUCAAGCAAAAAAGGAAAUAGGAAAGUCUCCGUGUUCCAGAAACUUCUGUUGAAUACGUGGCUGAAAACGAAUACUCCAGAAACUCAUUAGGAUGAUGACACGUGUCAGGCCCCUUACAUGGCACUCAAUUAGCUUGGCAAUUCCUCCUCUUCAAGAAAGUUCCAGGGAACUAACAGCUUGAGAGGAAUAAUCUAGAAAUGCGCCAGGUUAAUGCGACGUGUCCAAUCCAUUACUAGCAUCCAACGUGGCAUAUCGCCGCUCCUUGUAAAUGAUACGACCUCUGCUUUUAGCUGAAUUUUUUUUUUCCCCGAAAUUCUCUCACUCAUACUAGCACUUGAACUCGUCGAGACUAGAAGACUUUAUUUGAAGAAUUUUAGAUUUUUACUGGUGGUCUAGAUGGCGGUAAAUGAUAGAAACGAUAAGGAGCAGGAAGAUGGGAAAAUGGAGGAAGGUAAAAAAGCAACAGUGUAUAUGUGGGGUUAUCUCCCCGGAGUUUCACCGGAGAAAUCACCCAUACUGAAUCCGAUAUCGGUGAAUUAUCCAGAUGCAGAUGAUUCAUGGAAGGAUGUAUGUGGUGGUGGUUGUGGUUUCGCCAUGGCAAUAUCAGGUUAAAACUGAUUAGUUUCUAAUGAAUUAUUUGGGCAGAUCUGAUGUGUCUAAAUUAUUUUGAUUUUUUAAUGUGGAAAUAGAAGGUGGAAAGCUGGUAACAUGGGGAUCGGCUGAUGAUGAAAAUCAAAGUUACGUGACAUGUGGAAAGCAUGGGGUAAUGAUUUUUUAUUUUAGUUUUUUUUUUGGAAAUUUGCUGAAAUAAAUAUAUAGUUUUGUGUUUGAAUUUGAUUCGUGUUGUCUGCAAUGAAAUGCCAAAUUUUGUUAAGGAAACUCCUGAGGCUUUUCUUCUUCCUUCUGAAGCUUCCAUCCUCAAAGCUGCUGCUGGUUGGGCUCAUUGUGUUUCUGUCACAGGCAAUCCACUUUUUUCUUCUCUUUCAAGAAAAUAUACUAGCAAAAUGUUUAAGGGGUGGGUUUUCUCUGAAUUUGAAUGUGGGGGUGGGGUCGCGUGUUAUUUUUGCUUGUCUGAUUUAUUUUUGUACAGAUACGGGGGAACUGUAUACAUGGGGAUGGAAAGAGUGCGUUCCGCUUGGAAAAUUUCCUCGUGAUGGGGCUUCUUGGGGAGCCCUCCAGAAGGAUAAUGCUGCCAAGCAAAAUGUGUUGUCAACUGAACAAGGUAAUCAGGUUGAAAGAAUGCAUUUCUUAGAAAAAUAAUGGGUGUUAGUCCCUUUUCUUUUUCUCAAGUAAUUUUCUUUCUUUUUUUGGGAAAAAUUUAAUGAUUGCAGUGAGUUCAGCGUCUUCUGAUGACAAAAGGAACGGAGAGGAAAUUGUGAAGCGAAGAAGAGUGUCACUGAAAGAAGAAAAUGAAAAUUCGGAAUAUGGAGAUGAAUAUUUCACAGUAACACCGGCUAUUGUGUCUUUGGGUCCAGGAGUAAGGAUCACCUCCGUGGCUGCUGGUGGGCGCCAUACUUUAGCCCUGUCUGGUAAAUGAAAAUUGAUAACUUGUUGAGUUGUAAAUUACAGAUUGAGUGAGUCUCUUGUUUCACACCGUUUGUUUCUGCGGGGCAAAAAUAUUUUUUAAAAAAUCUAAUAUUUUUAUAUAUUUAUAAAUUAUUUUGAAAUAUUAAUCUCAAAAAUAAAUUUUAAACAAUAAAAAAAAUAUUAUUUUAAUUAAAAAAUACUUUAUAAAAUAACCAAAUACUAUAAACAAUCUCUUUAGUCGGCAACACAAGGUUGUUUUGUAGGUUAGAAGUUCGCAGGAGGUUGUAUGAAGUACGAAGAUGUGGAAGAUUUUUUAAUGUAAAGCAAGACUCAUGAUGUCAUAUUUUUAACUGGGGUUUCAGAUACGGGACAGGUUUGGGGUUGGGGAUACGGAGGAGAAGGGCAGCUAGGUUUGGGAUCUCGUGUAAAAAUGGUGUCUUCUCCCCAUCUCAUACCAUUUACCGAGCAACCUACUACUGGAAAACACAGAUCCUCAGUAGUUCAUAAUGGAAGCACAAAUCUGCCAGCACAAGUUUCUAAUUUCCCUGGAAGUUAUGUGAAGGAGAUUGCUUGUGGAGGUCGGCAUAGUGCAGUAGUAACAGGUUAGCAUCUGACAACUGAUAUGAUUGCCAGCUCGAAUGAUUUUAAUUCCUCUAAAAGUGUAGUGAAAUUUCCAGUUGUUACUUUUAGUGAGUUUGGCCACCAGCUAUGCAUCAAAAUCUUAAUUCAACUAAAAAAAACUUCUCUUCAACUGUUAUGGCAUUCAAGUUCAUUUGCAAACUAUGGAAGUUGAAUUCUUGAUUGACUUCGUCUACUUUACUUUUUAGACAAAUAUAAAGAGAUUAUUAGCCAAUUAUGGUCUCAUUGAAGUGGAAUACCCUGAGCAAAUGUUUGGGGACAAUCCUAUCCUUCAACAACAUUAUAUGAAGUGGCUGCUUUCAACAAUUGAAUCUGCACUCUUGUGGUUGCAAGUCCUAGACUCUUUUCACUGCUCCAAUCAAUGGUCCUUUACUUGAAAAAAAAAAACCCUAUAAUUAUCAGCAAUACCUCACUUGCUGUCUUCUUUUUGUUGUUGAUAUUGCAGAUGCUGGAACACUACUUACAUUUGGCUGGGGACUUUACGGGCAGGUGAGCUUUCUAUAUUCCUAAGCUGAUGUUAUCUUUUUGCGUUCUUUAUUUUUUUGUUUCAGGUAGAACUUAGGUUCAGAUUAUUAUAUGUUUUAAUCCACCUGGAUCUAAAAUGGUCGUUUGUGAUGGAAUUGUUUUCUUCAGUGUGGACACGGGAGUACAAAUGAUCAGUUGAGACCAACUUCUUUACCUUCUCUAUCAGGAAUCCAAAUUGAAAGAAUUGCUGCUGGCCUAUGGCACACUAUGUGCAUCACCAUCGAUGGUCGUGUAUAUGUAUUUGGUGGGAAUCAGUUUGGACAAUUGGGUACUGGAGCUAGCCAGGGCGAGGUACCUCCUACAUCCGUCAUCGCCUUGAAUUGUGUUUACGCUCCUGUUAAAAAAAAAAUCCACGAGUAGUGUUUUGUUUGUGACCAUCUACGUGGUUUACAUAUUGACUAAUUCAACUGAAGGAAACUAACUAAUAACUGAGGCAUUUGCAUGUCUUUUUCAGACUCUACCUAGACUCUUGGAGGAUCCAUGUCUGGAGAGUAAGCUGGUGAAGAUGGUUUCUUGUGGCGCUCGGCACAGUGCCAUUCUACUAGGUACUAGUCAAUGUUGGAAUAGUCCAUGAGAGUUACUUUUUCAGCUCUUUACCAGUUUAGUUCAACAGUGCUCAGUGCAUAUAAAGGGAUUAAGACUUUUAUCCAGCUAUAAAGAAACUAUACCAGAAAAUUAGAAAUCCUGUCUAAUAAACUGGCGCUUAAUUAGUGAAAGAUAUUCAUAGGAGUAGGGAUAGGUCAUGCAAUAUUGCUUGUUGCUUAUGGAAGUGGCACCAGAGUUCCAUCAGCAUUGAUAGUGUAUUUUCUUUUUCAAGUACAAUACAAGAUGCUCAUUAGUGGAACUUGCUUAUUUUUCAGCUUGAGUAAUAGGAAUAGGGAUCCUUCUUAUUUGAAGUGGGGGAAUCCUUUAUCUGAAAUCGAUUUCCAUGAUGGUGCAACAAUGAAACUAGUAUAGGCUAUUGUUUGUAGCUGUAUCCAUGCGUUAUCAAUUAAAACAAGCUUAUUUGUAAUCUCUGAAACAUGUGCUCUGACUCCCUUUUUUUUUUUUUUUUUGUCUCUCUUGCUUAUUUUUGAAGAGGAUGGCCAAGUAUUUUCCUGGGGUUGGAACAAGUAUGGUCAGGUACUAUACUCACAGUUUCCUGUUCGGAAUUGGUGUACCAAAUGCACAUCUUUAGCUGACAUCUUAUUGGCUGCAUGCAGCUUGGCGUGGGCGAUUCAAUUGAUCGUAACACCCCUACUCAAGUUCCCAUUGAAGGUUGUCGACCAAAAAUGGUGGCAUGUGGCUGGUGGCACACAUUGCUGCUAGCUGAAACACCUCUGAAAUCCUAGAUUUGUCAAAACAAGUGAAAGGGAUGAUGCAGUUUUUACUAGGAUUCUUCUCCUGGAUCAUUUCCUUUAUUUUAACUUUCAUUUUUUAAGCAAGCUUGUUAUGAUUACCAGUGACAUUUUACCAACAAUGUAUGUAACAUUCGAGCAUGCUCUCUGUUUUACCCUUUUUAGAGUUGGUUCGGAUCCAACGAAGCUUUGCGAACUGCAAGAACAAUCUCCUCAUUUGUACGCAAACCAUCACUCCUUGUAAUAACCAACAUUAGUCCAAUUCUGAUAUACAAAGCUCAUCAGAUGAGAAACACAACCUCCCCUCGUAUUUAACUGGAUGAGGAUGCAUCAAAUCUUUGCUAGAUAUCGAAUUCCUUCUACGAUGCAAAAGCUGCAUCAGGGGCAAAGAAGAUGCCCAGUCUAUGGAAACCCUUGCAAGCCCGUGUACAUUUGCAGAUUGCAUAAAUAAAAUUUGCUCAUUUCUAAAUUUACACAUGCUGUGAGGAAAGUUUCUAUUAGAAUCCAGUUACCUCGACAAUGAAAUGUGCCCAUGUGUCAUUAGAUCGACUUUCAAUUACACCCUUCAGGAUGGUCAGGUCUAAACUGCGGAUCACCUGGGCCAUCUCCAAGAAAACACCUCGAUCAUCGCAUAGCAUCUGCAGCACAUGCUAUUUAGCAAAUCUUGUAAAGCAAAUGUUCCCAGAGAAUCUAAAUUGUAUGAGGAUUUGUCCUGGUAUGCAAGAUCUUCCACAACUAUUGGGCAUAUCUGGAGCUCAUCUCCAAAUUGAAAUGCCCAGUUUUUCCAAUUUGGCUAUUCUCUUUGGCUUCAGACAGUCUGCAGUUCUUGCGGUCAGAAACUUGCAAACCCAUUUCAGCUCAAUUACGAUGUGAUGCGUAUCAGUUGUCAAUUCUCAGUGGCCUAAACAGUGCAGUGAUUUCUCGUUGUUGUUAAUACAGUUAUGCCCUGUUAUGUAUAACAUGUUGUGUGUGUUUUGAUAUUAUUUAUCAUAUCUUUAACAGGAAAGGGUUCUUGGCCUAAUAUAGAGGAAAGAGCUCGGCAAUGUAUAGUAUGCUGUGUGUGUGUGUGUGUGUGUGUGUGUUUUUUUUGUCUUAACCCAGAAAACUUACUGCUUGCUCGGCAAUGCAUCUAUCAUGAGCUUCGUUAUUUGAACAACCUAUAGUAAAUAGCUCAUCCUGGUCCAGCAUGAAUGAAAUCUAUGACGCACAAAUUCUUUGUCAACAGAUUUCAAGGAUGGCCAUGGCUGACCUAUCUAAACAGUCUAGGUUUCGGUUACCUUAUUGUUUAUGACCAGCUAAGCUAGCAGCAGUAGGAUGCUAACUAAUUAUCUCAAGUUGAUCACAGCUUAAUACCACGUGGAAUGGUUCUUCCCAAAACACAUACAGAAAAAGAAAAAACAAUGUAAUGGUGUAUCAGAUCAAACACGAAGCAUUUAUGAAACCCACAGCGAACGCAAAAUCAACCACUAAAACCUCUAGCCUUUUUUAGGGUGAGGGUGAUUGCGAGCUUUUCCCCGUCCGUUGUUCCUGUUAAAAAAUUAUGCUCAUCAUGCUAUUCAAAGCAGCUGUAGGAUCCAUGUUUCCACUCUAAAUUUUUUCAUCCGUAAAUUAUAAUAAAUUUUUCCGUCAUUGUAUUAUCCAUAGGUAAAUAAUGAUAAAAAUAUUCUCUCGUCAUCUAGAGAAUUAUAAUGGUAAAAAAAAAGAAAAAAAAAACUAAAAAUACAAUGACAUGUCAUUUUACAGAUAAAAUUACCGACAGAUUUAAAUUUAUUAGUAAAUUCAUUUGUAAUAUUUAAUUUAUGACCUGACGAACGAUUCUUCUGUCUCCCUCCCCCAUUUCUUUUACUUCCUGUAUUUUUUUCUACAACAAAUAGCACAACCUCCCCCACCAAUUUUAUCACAAAUCAACCUCUCACUACAAAUCCGGCCAACCCAACAUUCAGUUUGUCAGCAUUCCUAUUCUGAUUUAAAUUAUAUUGAGGAUUCCCCACUUCAAAUAAGCAAAACUACUCAUUUUUUAUUUGAACUAAAUUUUAAAAUGUUAAUUUUUAUUGCAUAUUUUUAUGGUAUAUGUAUUUUAUUUAGGUGUUUACUUGUUUUAUAGCUUUUUCUUAUAGAAUUUUGUUGUAUGAAUAUAUGAUUUGUACAUAUUAGGUUUUGUUUAAGAUUUUAUAAAAUUAUAUUUGUUUAUAAAUUGAUGAAAUUUAUUUUGAAUUUGUGACUUAGGUGUCUUGUAAUGAAAUAAAUAAUGACUUAUUUAACGAGUCUGUUUUAUAUUUUGUCAAUUUUAUUGUUGAGUUGAAAUUUUCAGUAAAAGUAUAGAAAUUUGAAUUUAUAUAGAUAAUUGAUAAUGAAUUAGUUAUACCAUUAAAAUAGUUUGAAUAAGUUUGAGUUAAACCAAUGUUCUAUUAUUUAUUUAGUUUAAUUAAUUAAUACAUGUUGUCAUCAAUAUUCUAUAUAAGUUUGACAUAAGUAAUGGAUGAUCAUUCAUGGAUGUUUCAAGAUUUACCCGAAAGGUUACGUAGGAUGGAUUAUUAUAAUGGGAUUCAGGGUUUUAUUAAUUAUGCACUAUCUAAUCCAAGAAAUAUUAGUGGAGGUAGUAUUAGAUGCCCAUGUAAGACGUGUAAAAAUAAAAAGUUUCUCGAUCCAGAUAUUGUAAUGAUACAUCUUCUACAAAAAAGGUUCAUGGAGAGAUAUUUAUGUUGGUUUGCACAUGGAGAACCAUAUGUUCCCCACGAGACCAUGAUAUAAAGGAUGGUUGGGUCAAUUUCUAGUUCUAGUAAUGUGCAUGAAGUUAUAGAUGACAAUAGUAAUUCUUAUAGGAUUAAUAUGGUUUUGGAUGUGAUGAGAAUAAAUCAGGGUUAUGUCGGUUAAGGUCCAAUCUUAGAUGAAGAACAUAAUGCAAACACGACUAGGUUUUUUGAUCUUUUGAAAAACUCCGACAAACCAUUAUUGAAUAAGUGCACAAAUCAUAAUAAAUUAUUGGUUGUUACACAGGUGUUCACCAUCAAAUCAGAUCAUGGGUUGAGUGAGGUCAAUUACAAAAGAAUUGUCAAAUGGGUGAGAAACAUUUUACCUGAAAUGAAUAGGCUAAAAUUGAACUUUUAUUCUAUUAAAUCCAUAAUGAAACCCCUCAGCCUAGGAUACUAUAAAAUUGACAUGUGUCCAAACUUUUGCAUGUUAUACUAACUUGAAAAUACAGAGUUAAUCGAGUGCAUAACAUGUGGACAUGCUUGUUAUAAACCCAAAACUGGCAAGGAAAAGACUUUUGUCACACAUAGAAAACUUAGAUACUUCUCAAUCACACUUAGACUUCAAAGGUUAUUCAUGUCACCAAAAACUCUUGAGUGCAUGACAUGGCAUCAUUCACAUGAUGCGGUGGAUGGAGUGAAGGUACACCUUUCUGAUGGUAAAGCCUUGAAAUAUUUUAAUAAGGUGCAUCCUUAAUUUUUAGUGGAAUCAAGGAAUAUGUGUUUUGGAUUAUGUACAGAUGAGUUCAAUCCAUUCGGGUAAUUUGUUACUCCUUAUUCUUGUUGGUUGGUGAUACUCACGGUUUACAACUUACAACCAAGGAUGUGUAUGAAAUUCAUGUUUUUAUCUAUGGUCAUACUUGGUCCUAAUAGUUUGGGUUAGAAUAUAGAUGUUCGUUUUUGUUUGUUGAUUGAUGAGUUGAAGUAGUUGUGGUCAUCCGGGGCUUUGACAUAUGAGGUAUCGAGGAAACAAAAUUUUCAAAUGAAGGCAAAUUUGAUAUGGACUAUCAAUGAUUUUCCUGCAUAUGGAAUGGUUUCUGGUUGGAGCAUGCAUGAAAAACUAACAUGUUCAUACUAUAAGGAAAAUAACAAAGCCUUCACGUUAACAAAUGACGGUAAAACAUCUUUUUUUUUUUAUUUCCACUAGUGAUUCUUGUCAAUAGAUCACAAGUACAGAAAGAAUAGAAAAGAUUUCUUUAUUGGCAGAGUUGAAAAGGGAUGUUGCACCACCGCUCCUAUCGGGUGAGGAAUUAUAUGACGUGGUGUCGGAGUACGAUGACAUUGUGUUUGAUUUUCAACAAAGUAAGCAGAAGUUUCAUGGUUUUGGUCACAAUUGGGUAAAUCAAAGUUUUUUCUAGUAGUUUCCUUAUUAAAAGACCAAUUUUCUCUAUUAUAACCUUGAUGUCAUACACAUUGAAAAUAACAUAUUUGAAAAUAUUUCUAGCAUCGUUAUGGACGUGAAAUGGAAGACAAAGGACAACAUCAAGGGUAGAAUAAAUAUAUCUUUUUUGCCACCGUAACAUUAUAGAGCUGGUUUAUGAUGAGUCAUAGGUCACAAUAAUGCACAGUUACUUGUGUAUCAAUGGCUUAAGAGUUUGCAUUUUCCUAGUGGACAUGCUUCAAACAUAUCAAAGUUGGUGAAUUUAGAGGAUUGCAUAUUGUAUGGAAUGAAGAGUCAUGAUUGCCAUGUGUUUAUGCAAACACUCAUUCCACUAGCUUACCAGGAUUGAUUGCCAAUGGGGAUAUAGGAUGCACUCAUGGAGAUCAGUCACUUCUUUAGAGAUAUAUGCUCCAACAAGUUCCAAAUACAACAUAUAAAGAAGCUUGAAACGAAUAUCAUCCAGACAAUCUGCAAACUUGAGAUGAUGUUCCCUUCAUCGUUCUUUAACUCAAUGAAGCAUCUACCCAUGCAUCUACCGUUCAGGUAAAAGUUGGAGGCUCGAUCCAAUAUAGAUGGAUGUAUCCAUUAUAGAGGUUAGGGAUUACACAUGCAUUGUAAUCAAAAUUCUAUUGUCUUUUUUUAAAAAUUCAAAACAAUUUUUUAAUUACAUGCAAGUACUUGUUCUACCUUAAAAAAAAUUAAAAAAAAAGGUGUAUGUUGAGGCUUCGAUAUGUGAGGCUUAUAUUAUUGAAGAGAUCUCAACAUUUAUCUCAUACUAUUUCGAGCCUCACUUAAGAACAAGAAUCAACCACGGUACAAGGCAUGAUGAUAGUGGGGAAGUGUCUUUGAAUGAGAACUUGUUAAUAUUCUCCCAUCUUGGACGACCCGUACAAAAAAAUGUUGUGAGGAGAAGAUAUUUGACAGAAAUAGAAUUCAGACAAGCAUAUAAUUAUGUGCUAUUUAAUUGUGAUGAACUAAGACCUUUUAUUCAGUAUGUAUAAUACUCCAUAUGUUGUUACUUUUUAACAAUUUAUCUCUUAUACGAUCAUAAACUGAUAGAUUGUUGAAUUCCUCAUGGGCAACAUUGUUAAUUUUUACUGUCCAAAAACUCACAACUGACUAAAUCUUAAAUUUUUCAAUUACAAGAUGAAUAAUUUUCCACAUAGUUUAGAAAACAUGUAAGAAUUGUUUAAUUAUUCUUAUUUCUCAGGAUACUUAAUUUCAUUAUACAUUUAUCAUUAAUUAUGAUGGAGAUGUAAUUCAUGUAUCAAGUUUAUCAAUUAUAAAUGAAUGCUAAUGUUACUUUGAAUUUACUAAGUUUGGGUCCUGGAAGAAAGGUGAAGUGAUAUAAAGGGUAUUUCAUCAAUGAACAUGUGUUUCAUUUAAGAGUAUGGUCAAGGUAGAAGACAUAACAGUGGGGUUUGUGUUAAGGGAUUGACUUCUAAUGAGUUCAAAGUUAACUACUAUGAGAAGUUAAAAGACGUCAUUGAAUUGCAAUAUCAUAACGAGCAUAAUAGUCUUUUUAUUUAAAUGUUAUUGGUAUGAUACCACUAAUAGAGGAAUCAGAGUAGAUCUCCAUCAUGGUUUGGUCAAAAUAAAUACAAAGGCUAGACUCUACAACAUUGACGAUGUCUUUUUUUUCACCAAACAAUGCCAACAAGUUUAUUACUUAUGCAUUCCUUCCUUUAGAAAGGAUCAUUCAUGUCCAGGUUAUUCAAGAUGGCAACAAUGAAUUAAAUGUGGGAGAUGAUGUCUUUUAACUUAAUGAGCUAAUUAAUCCAUAUCAAGUUACUCCAUCUAAUGACUUAGAAGAAAAUUUAAAUUUUCACGUCGCUAAUAAUACUUUGGUUGAUGUUGAUGUUGAUGUUGAUGAGUUAAAUAAUGUUUUAAGAACCAACAGACAUACAAAAAUCAAUAAAGAUGAUGAUAGCGACCAAAUCAACAUAGAAGAUUACGAUGAAGAUGACAUAAUUGAAGAAGAAGAAGACAAUUCUGAUUAAUUUUCACAACAUAAAUGUGUAAUGCUAUAAUUACAAUGUAAUAUUUCUGGACGAAAUUAACUUUAAUGUAGUGACAAUAACAUUAAUUUUAUGUGAUUUUAAUAUUCUACACAAAAUUGAUGUUAUUAUGUUGUGUGUGCUGCUGUGAUUUUAAGUAUUUGAAGGAUGAAUAGAUAAGGAAUAUAAAUACAAUAUGGCAAUAGAAAUUGUUGUACAGCGAUGGAAAUACCAAUAGACUAUAAAAUGCCAACAGAUACACCAAUGGUUUAAGUCCGUUUGUAUAUUCCAGAGAGCAUUAGAGCCUUUCACCUCUUAAAUGCAUUGUUCAUUAUAUUCAAUACAGAGGGUAUCACUAACAGAUUAAGUCCAUCGGUAUAUUCCAAAGAGCGUUAAAAUUGUUUCCCUCUCAAUUGCAUUGUUUAUUGUGUUCAAUAUAGAGGGUAUCACUGACGGAUUAAGUCCGUUAGUAUAUUCUAAAGAGCAUUGGAAUUGUUACCCUCUCAAUUGCACUAUUCACUGUGUUCAAUACAUAAAGUAUCAUCGAUGGAUUAAGCUCGUUAAUAUAUUCCAGAGAGUAUUGGGAUGUUUCACCUCUAAAUUGCAUUGUUCAUUACAUACGGUACCAUCAAUGGUAAUAGUUGGAGGGUUUCUAAAAUUUUUUAUUAAAUUGAAAAUUUCAAUUAGAAUUUAUAGACGGAGACACCAAUGGAAAAAUUAAAAUUAAAAUUUUUAAUUUUUCGAUAGUAAAGACGUCGGUAAUACAUGGCAUGUUUCUAAAAGUUUUUGAUUAAAUUGAAAAUCUCAAUUAGACUUUACAGAUGGAGACAUCGAUGGAAAAAUUAAAUAUUAAUUUUAAAGUUUCUGACGGGAAAGAUUGGGAAUACAUAUGAUAUGACCGACCGAUGAAUUAAGUCCGUCAAUAUAUUCUGGAGAGCAUUGUGACUGUUCAUGUCUCCAAGUAGUGUUCAUUGUAUUCAAUUCAUACUGUAACACCAACAGAGUAAGUUUGUCGGUAUAUUCUAAAGAGCAAUGAAACUGUUCACCUUUUUAUGUCACUUUUAAUUACUUUUCGUUAUAUACAGCUUUACCAAUGAAAUGAAAAAUUAUUGAUGAUAUUUGGGGGUUUUCUUAAAAUUUUUGAUAAAAUAAAAAAUUUUAAUUAGAUUUUUUAUGUCACUUUUAAUUACUUUUCGUUAUAUACGACUUUAACAAUGAAAUGAAAAAUUAUAGGUGAUAUUUGGGGGGUUUCUUAAAAAAUUUUAUUUAAAAUUUUUAAUAAAAUAAAAAAUUUUAAUUAGAUGUUAAAUAUGGAAACACAUACGGGAAAAAAUAAAAAAUAAAAAUAUUUAUUUUUUCAUCGGUAAAACCAUUGGUAAAAAAGUCCUAAAUUAAACUACCAAAAUUUCUCAAAUUAUAACAGACAUGCUGGCUUUCUUCAUCAUCAUCUUCUUCUUCUUCUUCUUCUUCUUCAUUUACAAAUAAACACCAGUGUCCCUCUCUUUCUUUCUCUUAUCCAUCUUCUUCUCUCCUCAACUCAUUUUCUCUUCUCUUCUCAUUCGGGCGCAGUUAUGUCUUUCCUCUCUUCUUCUACUAAAUUCUCUGUUUCUUUUUUGUUAAUUAACAUAUUGUUCAAUUUUUUUUUCUUUUCCUAGCUUCAAUCACAAUGAAAUCAAGGUAAGAUUUUUUUUUCUUAUCUUUUAUUUGUGUAUUAUUAUAUUUUUUUUGUUCUUAACACUUAUAUGAAUGUUGUUGCUGGAAGUUUUUUAAAUAUAAGAACAAUUUUGUUGAAUUUUAGUUGGAUUUAUUUUUUCAAUUUUGUUGUUCAAAUUCAAUUAAAUUUAUAGGAUUGCUUUUAAUUACUAUUAGUUAAUAAUAUUCUAUUAAAAAUUAAUAAAUUUAAAAUAUUCUUAGUUAAUAAUAAUUAAUUAUCUUAUAUUUAUAGUUAUAAGUUCAAUUUCAAUAACAAGUUAAAGUUAUAAAUUUAUAUUGAUUUUUAUAUGAUAGACAAUAUAAUAUUAUUAUGAUAAUAAUUGUAUAUAUAACCUAAUUAUAGAAAAGAAUCUUUUCUAUUUAUAAAGUAAAAUUCUAGUUAAUAAGUAGAUAUUCAAUAAUUAGGUUUGCUCUAUAAUAAAUAUAUGUAUUAAAAAAUUAAAAAAAUAUAUCCUAAAAACAAGGUUGAGUACAAGUUGAGUGAACUCUUCACUCAAUGACAAGGAAACAAAUUGAAUAAAAUCAAUUGGUUUGUGGCAAUUGAAUUUAAAUUGUUGUGUAUUUGCAAGUUUAAAAAUUUUGGAUAGUCUUUCCAUAUAUGGAAGAUGCUGCCAAUUUUUUUUUAAAUAAGAAUAAUUUAUGAUAUCUUAAUCCCUUAAUUUGUGUGGAUGCCCAAGUGGAAGUCAAUAACGCGUCGUACAAACAGGAUCACUGCUGGUUCUUCUACUAUCAUUUUUUACGAUUAUUGGUUGUUAGGUGCCGAUCAAGAACAAGCAAUUGAGACACGGCUGCUCGACGCGGGCUCGUUGAGGGGGUCCCCUUCACAGCGAGAUCCAUUUACUCGGAAGUACCAGACUAAGUGAAAGAAUGACAUUUCAAUGUAAGUUUGUUUUUUCCUUCACAUUGACAUGUUAAUAAUUUUUGAAAAAUUAAUUUCAAUUAACAAUGCAAUUUCAAGUUUACAUAUAUUGAGGCUACCAGAUCCAUAACAUCAGUCAUGAAAUUGUUGAUGGAAAUUCCAUUGUUUCAAUGGUGUGAGGUUUCCAAACAUCCUGAAAGGGAACCUAUGAUUGAUGCAUGAUUCAGAAGGUUUAAGGUUCGUAUUAACUUAAAUAUUUUUUAUAUUAAUUUGGUUAGUUUAUUAAUACUAAUGAAAAUUUUAUUUUGCAAGUUUUAACUGCAAGGAAAAAUUUGAAUGUGAUAGAGAUGACAACGCUAUUGUAAGGAGUGUUCGGGAGAAUCACGCUGCAACUAGGUAAGAUUGGAAUCAAGAUAAAAAUAAUAAUAAUCCUCAUUCCAGCCUUCUAGACCAUUAUCUCUCGCAUAUCUUUUUGUUUUUUUUUUAUGUGUCAUACCAAAAAUCACGCAACCUACUUCCAUAGUAACAAAUUAGAAUUUAAAACAUAAAAUUAUAAAACAAGAAAUUAUAUUAUUUUCUAUGUUAUCUAGUUGCUACGUGAUUCUCCCAUACCCUCCUCACAACAUUGUUGUAUGCGCUAUCCCACUCAAAAUUGUGUUGUGUAUAAAUAAUUCAUUUAAAAUAAAAAUAGUACAAGAUAUAAAAUUAUAAAAAUAAUUUAUUAAAAAUAAGCUGGAAAUUAGAAGUUAACACCUACCUGAAAUCGUCGAAACCAGGCAUCGAUAUUAGGUCUCCACUUAGGAUGUCUGGAAACCUGACUCCAUUGAAAUAAUGGAAUCUCCAUCGACGAUUUAAACGCCGAUAUUAUUGUCCGGGCAACCUUAAUAUUUGUGAACCAGAAAUUAAAUAAAAUUAAUAAAAUAUUAAUUAGUUGUUCAUAAAUUAUGUUAUAAGUAUAAAAAAAACUAAAACCUAAACAAACUGACAUUGAAAGGUUAUCCUUCUAUUGUGCCUGGUACUUGCAGGUGAAUUGAACCCGCUGUGAAGGCACACCGCCUCUGCGCUGUGAAACCGCGCUAGAAGAGUUAGCAUCACAAGUUGCCUCUUCGUGAUCAACACCUAAGGAUAAGUCAUUCUCGCUGCUAGAAGAACUAGUUGCAACCGUCUGCUAACGACAUGUUGUUGAUUUCAUUCUACGCAUCUACACAAAUUUAUAUGAAUAAUUACAUAAUUAACUUCGAUUAUUUAAAAAACAAUCGGCAACACCUCCCCUAUACUGAAAGACUACCCACAGUUUUCAAACCUGCAAAUAUUUACAAUAACCACAAGCCAAUUGACUCUAUUGGAAACUCUUAUAUACAACCUAACAUCUAUAGAAAUUUAACAUCUAUAUAUUUUCAACUAACAUCUAUAGAAAUACAUAAAUGACAAUUAAAAUUAAUAGAAAUAAUAAAAAAACAUAACAAGCAAUAAUAGAAUAAAAUUGAGAUAAAAUAAUUAAAUUUAAUUCUUCAUUUCCAAUUACCAUUUCCAUGGUAAAUUCAACAAUAACAAUUAAAAUUCAACAAAAUUUUCAAAUAAUUAUUACAAUACAAACAAUAAAAUAAUUAAAUUGUCAUUCUUCACAUCUACACAAAUUUAUACGAAUAAUUAAAUAAUUAAAUUUAAUUAUUUUAAAACAAUUCGACAUCACCUUCCCUAUAUUAUAGACUACCCACAGUUUUCAUACCUACAAAUAUUGAUAAUAUCCACAAGCCAAUUGACUCCAUUGCAAAAUCUUAUAUACAAUCUAAAAUUUAUAGAAAUUUAAUAUCUAUAUAUUUUCAACUAACAUCUAUAGAAAUUCAUAAAUAACAAUUAAAAUUAAUCGAAAUAAUACAAAACAUAACAAGCAAUAAUAUAAUAAAAUAAUUAAAUUUAAUUAUAUAUUUCAAUUAACAUUUUAAAGGUAAAUUCAACAAUAACAAUUUAAAUUUAACAAAAUUUUCAAUUAUUAUGGCAAUACAAACAAUAAAAUAAAUUGAACAAAUAAAAAGAAAAAACUAAAGACUCAAGGAAUGAAAAAUGUUUACCUUAAGUGUGUUGAUUUCAAGAUUUUAUCUACAAACAAUACACAAAACAAAAAACACAACAAAAAUAAUCAUAAUUAAAAUAAAAAAAAGUAAAAAAAUACAAAGAUAAAGAAAGGAGAAUCAUACCUUUUAAUAUGUUGAAAGCUACAAUCAAAACAAUAAAAAUGAAAUGAGAAACGCAAAGGAGAAGAGAAGAUGAAUGAGGAGGAACGGAGAAAAAUUGAACCACGUGUUAAAUAAUAUUUAUGUAGUCUUAUUUAGUAAGGGUAGAAUAGUACUUUCAGUUUAACCUAUAUAUACUUUAUUUGUAUUUAGGUUAAGACUAUGCACUCAUAAUAUACAAAUCAUUCAGAAUUCUAGCCUCCUUUUUGUGUUUCAUCUUAAUUAUUUUAACAUGGUAUCAGAGCUGGUUUUAUAGAACGAGGCUUAAUCCCGAACACAACUUCGCGGAUCCAACUUUUUGGAGUGAUAUUUUGUCUCCCGCUUCUGCAAAAUUUGGUAUUUCGUCAGUUUCUGCAAUUAUUUUGGUAUUUCAUCUUCCCUUCAGCUUCUGCAAUUUGGUAUUUGCGUUCAGUUUCUGCAAAUUUGUUUUGUGUUUUGGAGUAAUCGCAUAAUUUUGAGAAGAUAUUUGUUUAGUUCUGUAAUCUCUGUUCAGUUUUUGCAAUUUGGUAUUUAGUUUUCCGCUGCUUUUGCAAUCUGGUUCUCUGUGAUUGUUGAUUAUGGUUACUGAAAGAGAUGAUUAGCUCCAGUCUGUGAGUGUGAGGUUGGAUGGGAAGAACUAUUCAUAUUGGAGCUAUGUAAUGAGAAAUUUUCUUAAGGGUAAGAAGAUGUAGGGAUAUGUUAGUGGAACUUAUGUGGUACCUAAGAAUACUGAAGAAGGAGAUACUGCUUCAAUAGAUGCAUGGGAGGCAAACAAUGCAAAAAUCAUUACUUGGAUCAACAAUUCUAUUGAGCAUUCUAUAGGUACAUAGUUGGCGAAGUAUGAGACAGCAAAGGAGGUUUGGGAUCAUCUGCAACGGUUAUUCACGCAAUCAAAUUUUGCAAAACAGUAUCAGUUAGAGAAUGACAUACGAGCUCUUCACCAGAAGAAUAUGAGUAUUCAAGAGUUCUAUUCUACCAUGACAGAUCUUUGGGAUCAAUUGGCUCUUACAGAAUUGGCAGAAUUAAAGGCAUGUGGUGCCUAUAUUAAGCAUAGAGAGUAGCAACGAUUGGUACAGUUUUUAACAGCACUUCGCAGUGAUUUCGAAGGACUUAGAGGUUCAAUUCUCCAUCGUUCUCCACUGACUUCUGUUGACUCUGUUGUCAGUGAGUUAUUGGCUGAAGAAAUACGUCUUCAAUCUUAUUCUGAAAAAGGAAUCCUUUCUGCUUCAAAUCCUUCGGUACUAGCAGUACCUUCUAAGCCAUUCUCUAAUCAUCAGAACAAGUCCUACACAAGGGUUGGCUUUGAUGAGUGCAGUUUCUGUAAGCAGAAAGGUCAUUGGAAGGCUCAGUGUCCUAAGUUGAGACAUCAGAAUCAAGCUUGAAAGUCUGGUAGCCAGUCACAAUCUAAUGCUCAUAGACCACCUCAGGGUUAUAAACCACCACACCACAAUACCGCAGCAGUAGCUUCCCCAGGCUUUAUUACCGAUCCUAAUACUUUGGCUAAGAAAUUUCAGAAGUUUAUCUCAUUGCAGCCACAAGCAAUGUCCGCUUCUUCUUCGAAAGGUCAGUUGCCUCAUAGUUCCUCAGGUAUGUCACACUAUGAAUGGGUCUUGGAUUCUAGUGCUUCCCAUCAUGUGUCUCCAGAUUCUUCAUCUUUUACCUCUGUGUCCCCUUUGUCCUCCAUUCCUGUUAUGACUGCUGAUGGCACUCCUAUGCCCUUAGCAGGUGUUGGUUCUGUUGUCACACCUCACUUAUCUCUCCCUAAUGUUUAUCUUAUUCCAAAACUCAAAUUGAAUCUUGCGUUUGUUGGUCAAAUAUGUGAUUCUGGUGAUUAUUUAGUUAUGUUUUCUGGUUCUUUUUGUUGUGUACAGGAUCUGCAGUCUCAGAAGCUGAUUGGGACAGGCCGUAGGGAGAAUGGAUUAUAUAUUUUGGAUGAGUUAAAAGCGUUAGUUGCUGCUGCUGUCGCUCCUACUACUACUGUUAAUUUGUCUUCCUUUCGUUUGAGUCUUUCAUCUUCUAGUUUUUAUUUAUGGCAUUCCCGUCUAGGUCAUGUUUCGUCUUCUCGUUUGAGAUUUUUAGCAUCCACAGGAGCUUUAGGAAAUUUGAAAACUUGUGACAUUUCUGAUUGUAGUGGAUGUAAACUGGCAAAAUUUUCCGCUUUACCUUUUAAUCGAAGUAUUUCUGUUUCUUCUUCACCAUUUGAUUUGGUUCAUUCUGAUGUAUGGGGACCUUCUCCUGUUGCCACAAAAGGAGGGUCUCGAUAUUAUGUCUCUUUUAUUGAUAAUCAUACUCGUUAUUGUUGGGUUUAUUUAAUGAAACAUCGUUCUGAAUUCUUUGAGAUAUAUACAGCUUUUCGAGCUCUUAUCAAAACUCAACAUUCUGUUGUGAUCAAAUGCUUUAGGUGUGAUUUGGGUGGGGAAUACACCUCUAAUAAAUUUUACCAAUUGCUUGCCUUAGAUGGAACCAUCCACCAAACUUCAUGUACAGAUACUCCUGAGCAAAAUGGUGUUGUUGAAAGAAAACAUAGGCACAUUGUCGAAACUCCUCAUUCUCUCUUGUUGUCUGCUUUUGUUCCUAGUGAGUUUUGGGGGGAAGCUGUUCUUACUGCUGUAAGUUUGAUUAAUACGAUUCCAUCUUCUCAUAGUUCGGGUCUAUCUCCUUUUGAAAAGUUAUAUGGGUAUGUCCCUGAUUAUUCAUCAUUUAGAGUCUUUGGUUGUACUUGUUUCGUUCUUCGUCCUCAUGUUGAACGUAGUAAGCUAUCCUCUCGAUCCGCUAUUUGUGUCUUUCUGGGUUAUGGUGAAGGUAAAAAGGGGUAUCGUUGUUAUGAUCCAAUAACUCAGAAACUUUAUGUGUCUCGUCAUAUUGUCUUCCUUGAGCAUAUACCUUUCCUUUCUAUUCCAUCCACUACUCAUAGUCUGACUAAAACUGAUGUUAUUCAUAUACUAGUACUGAUACCUCUCCUCAUGUUCGAUCAAUUUGUACUCAUAACUCUGCAGGUACUGGUACUUUACUCUCUGGCACACCUGAAACUCCAUUCUCAUCUACAGCCCCUCAAGCUUCAUCUGAGAUUGUGGAUCCACCUCCAUGUCAGUCCAUCCGUAUUCGUAAGUCCACAAAACUACCAGAUUUUGCUUAUUCUUGUUAUUCUUCAUCAUUUACUUCCUUUUUAGCUUAUAUUCAUUGUCUCUUUGAGCCCUCUUCCUAUAAAGAGGCAAUUCUUGAUCCGCUUUGGCAGCAAGCUAUAGAUGAGGAACUUUCUGCUUUGCAUAAGACAGAUAUUUGGGAUCUGGUUCCUCUACCUUCUAGUAAGAGUAUUGUUGGUUGUCGUUGGGUGUAUAAGAUCAAGACUAAUUCUGAUGGGUCUAUUGAGCGAUACAAAGCUAGGCUGGUUGCAAAAGGAUACUCUCAACAGUAUGAUAUGGACUAUGAGGAGACAUUUACCCCGGUUGCAAAAAUGACUAUUAUUCAUACUCUUAUUGCCGUAGCUUCGAUUCGUCAGUGGCAUAUUUCUCAGCUUGAUGUUAAAAAUGCCUUCUUGAAUGAAGAUCUUCAAGAAGAAGUUUAUAUGGCACUCCCUCCUGGUAUUUCACAUGACUCUGGAUAUGUUUGUAAGCUUAAGAAAGCAUUAUAUGGUCUCAAACAAGCACCUUGUGCUUAGUUUGAGAAAUUCUCUAUUAUGAUCUCGUCUCUUGGCUUUGUUUCUAGUAGUCAUGAUUCUGCUCUUUUUAUUAAGUGCACUGAUGCAGGUCGUAUCAUUUUGUCUUUAUAUGUUGAUGACAUGAUUAUUACUGGUGAUGACAUUGAUGGUAUUUCAGUCUUAAAGACAGAGUUGGCUAGAUGAUUUGAAAUGAAGGAUUUGAGUUAUCUUCGAUAUUUCCUGGGUAUUGAGGUAGCAUACUCACCUAGAGGUUGCCUUUUUUCUCAAUCGAAAUAUGUUGCAGAUAUUCUUGAGCGGGCUAGACUUACUAAUAACAAGACUGUAGAUACUCCUAUUGAGGUCAACGCGAGGUACUCUUCUUCUGAUGGUUUACCUUUGAUAGAUCCUACUUUAUACCGCACUAUUGUUGGGAGUUUGGUAUAUCUCACUAUUACUCGUCCAGAUAUUGCAUAUGCUGUUCAUGUUGUUAGUCAGUUUGUUGCUUCUCCUACUACUGUUCACUAGGCAGUUGUUCUUCAUAUUUUGCGAUAUCUUCGGGGUACAGUUUUUCAGAGUCUUUUACUUUCAUCCACCUCUUCCUUGGAGUUGCGUGCAUACUCUGAUGCUGAUCAUGAUAGUGAUCCCACAGAUCGCAAGUCUGUUACCGGGUUCUGUAUCUUUUUAGGUGAUUCUUUUAUUUCUUGGAAGAGCAAGAAACAAUCUAUUGUUUCUCAAUCAUCUACCGAAGCAGAAUAUCAUGCCAUGACAUCUACUACCAAAGAGAUUGUUUGGUUACGUUGAUUACUUGCUGAUAUGGGAGUUUCCUUUUCUCAUCCUACUCCUAUGUAUUGUGACAACCAGAGUUCUAUUCAGAUUGCUCACAACUCAGUUUUUCAUGAGCGAACUAAGCACAUUGAGAUCGAUUGUCAUCUUACUCGUCAUCAUCUCAAACAUGGCACCAUUGCUUUACCUUUUGUUCCUUCUUCAUUGCAGAUUUCUUUACCAAGGUGUAUUCCAUCUCUUGUUUCGUUUUCUUGUUGGCAAACUCUCGAUGCUUGUAGUUGCCGCAUCGUGAGUUUGAGGGGAGAUGUUAAAUAAUAUUUAUGUAGUCUUAUUCAGUAAGGGUAGAAUAGUACUUUCAGUUUAACCUAUAUAUACUUUAUUUGUAUUUAGGUUAAGACUAUGCACUCAUAAUAUACAGAUCAUUCAGAAUUCUAGCCUUCUUUUUGUGUUUCAUCUUAAUUAUUUUAACACCACGAAGGGGGGGUUGGGUUUUAUACUGCAAUAUUAUUGACAGAAUUACUGACGGAUCUUAGAAUAAUAUUUUCUUGGGCGGUGGCAAUAAUUUUCGUCGGUAUUUUUUGAAUUUCACACUAAAAUUUUAAAAAUCCCUCCAGAAUUUUCGAAGUCAGUCGGCAUGUCUGUCGGUAAAUAGGUGUCAGAGCACGCGCGCAUUGGAUUUCCAGCUUCCGUCGGUGAUUCCUUUGGUAAAUCGGUCGACUGACCUGGCACUCUGACAGUCGCACGCAUGGGAAUGUGCAGCCUCCGUCAAUGAUUCCGUCGGAAACAACAUCGGUGAUUGUGGCAGGGCAGUAAUUUUUUUGCAACUCCCGGUAAAAUAACGACGGCCACAAACUGUCGGUAUAGUCAUUGGUGAUUGUGGCAAAUGCAGUAAAUAUUUUGCAACUCUCUAUGAAAUACCGUCGAAUGGGUUCUGUUGGUAUCGUCGUCGGUAUGUGUGUCAUACUUUUACAUGUUUUGUUUGUAUUGCUUAUUUAUCCUCCUACACAAACGCUUAAAUUGCAAACUUACCGCACGCACAACACAAUAACAAUAACAAACAAUUAUAAAAUAAAUAUUACAUGUUCCAAAAUAUCAUUCAUAAUGUUACAUUAUAAAAAAAGGCUUUACACUUUCGUAUUCUGAUCAUAUUUAGUCAGAAUUUUCAUCUUCGUCCUCAAUUGAAUUGUUAUCAGCUUCAUCGCACUCUUCAAUGUGGUUAUCAUCUUAUUCAUCAACAUUCUCUAGUCCACUAGAGCUCAAAACAACAUUCAACUCCUCUGCGUCAACAUCAAUAAGACCAUCAUAAAAAACACGAAAAUUUAAAUUUUCUUCUAAGUCAAUCGAAGGAGCAACUCGGUAUGGUUCAACCAACUCACUAGCUUGAAAGACUUCAUGUAUCACACUUGUGUCUUCGUUCUCAUCCUGAACAACCUCGACACGACCCCUAGGUUUUUUUUUAAAACGGAUAACCAAUCAAUUCUUGAUCAGUCCUUUCUAAAGGAAGGGGUGUAUGUGUAAUAAACAUGUUGGCAUUGCUUUACGAAAACAAAGACAUCGUUUACGUUGCGGAUUCUAGCUUUUGAGUUGAUUUCAACGAGACCAUAGUGAUGAUCUACAUCUGUCAGUUGUGUCAUACCAAUAGCAUUUGAAUAAAAACAUUGUAUUCUGCUCGCUAUGAUAUUGCAAUUCGACGACCUCUUCUAAUUUUCCAUAGUAGUCAACUUGAAACUCACUAGAAGUCGAUCCCUUAAUACAAACACCGCUGUUGUAUGUCUUUCUUCCAUGCCCGUAUUCUUCAGUAUGAAACACAUAUGCAUUAAAAAAAAUACCCGUUAUAGAACUUGACUUUUCUUUCAGGGCCCAGGCUUAGUAAAGAUAGUGAAAUAGCAGCACUACCUACCAUUUGAUAAACCUUGUAUAUCAAAUACAAUAAUAGUCAAUAAAUGGACAUUCUCUAAUAUUGAAGUAUAGUUACCUUGCAAGAGAUGAUGAGUUUGUGAUAGGACUUACAUGUGUUUUAAACCACGUGGCAAAUUGUUCAUCUUGUAAUUGAAAGAUUUAGGAUUCGGUCAGCUGUGAGUUAUUGGACAGUAAAUAUCAUUGAUGUUGCUUGCAAGAUUGUUCCAAAUUAUAUGAGUUUAUGAUAUCACAAUAUAUAAAUAGUACACUCUCGACAAAGUUCAAGUAGUACAUCUACUUACUUAAUAAAAUUAAGGUCUCAGCUCAUCACAGUUAAAUAGAACAUAAUUGUGUGCUUGUUUGAACUCUAUUUCAGACAAAUAUCUUCCCCUUACGACAUUUUUAGGUGUGGGUCGUCCAAGAUUGGAGAAUAUUGACAAGUUCGCACUUGAAGGCACUUCACCAUCAUCAUCAUACCGUGGAACACGAUUGAUUCUCGUUCUCAAAUAAGGUUCGAAAUAAUACGAGUUAAAUGUUGAGAUCUCCUCAACAAUAUAAGCCUCACAUAUUGAAGCCUCAACAUGCGCCUGUAUAUAUAGAACAAGUACCUGCAUAUAUAGAAUUAAACAAAAAUUAUCAAUUAAAAAAAAACAAUGAAAAAACUUUUAAUUAUGAAUUAUAUUGCAACUGUAAUAUCUAACCUCUCGAAUGGAUUCAUCCAUCUAUACUGGACCGGGCCUCCAACUUUUACCUCAUACGGUAAAUGUAUGGGUAGAUGCUCCAUUAAGUAAAAAAAUGAUGGAGGGAAUAUCAUCUCAAGUUUGCAUAUUGUCUCGACAAUAUUCGUUUCAAGCCUUUCAAUGUGAUCAACAUCCAACUUGCUGGAGCAUAUGACUGAUCUCCAUGAGUGCAUCCCAUAUCCCCUUUGGCAACAAAUCACGAAAAGCUAAUGGAAUGAGUGUUUGCAUAAACACGUGGUAGUCAUGACUCUUCAUUCCAUAUAAUCUGCAUUCCUCCAUAUUAACCAGCCUUGAUAUGUUCGAGGCAUAUCCAUCGAGAAAACACAGACUCUUAAGCUAUUUGUAGACUAGUAGUUAUGUGUUUUUCUCUAGCACGAAGCUUGCUCUUAGUUUUGCGACCCGUAACCCAUCACAAACCAACUCCAUAUUUUUACGGUUACAGAACAACACUAAAUCCAACUCUGCCAACAAAGAAAUCCUUUAUGUUCUUUCUGUACCUGUGAUUCGGUGGCAAGAAACGACGGUGACAGUAAAAAAAAAGAAGCUUUACCUUCGUUUGUUAGCGUGAAUGCCUUGUUGUUUUCCAUACAGUAUAGACAUGCUAGUUUUCCAUACGUGCUUAAACCAGAAACCAUUCCAUAAGUUGGGAAAUCAUUGAUAGUCCAUAUCAAAGCCGCUCUCAUAACAAAAUUAUGUUUCCUCGAGAUAUCAUAAGUCAAAGCUCCAGAAGAUCACAAUUGCGUCAACUCAUCAAUCAACCGUUGAAGACAAACAUCUAUAUUCUAACCCGGACUGCUCGGACCUGGUAUGACCAUAGAUAAAAACAUGAAUUUCAUAGACAUCCUUGGUGGUAAGUUGUAAAUCGUGAGUAUCACCGGCCAACAAGAAUAAGGAGUAGCAAAUGACCCGAAUGGGUUGAAUCCGUCUGUACACAACCCAAGACGCACGUUCCUUGAUUCAGCUGAAAAGUGAGGAUGCACAUUGUUAAAGUGUUUCCAUGUUUCACCGUCAGAAGGAUGCACCAUCACUCCAUCAACCGUAUUAUGUGAUUGGUGUCAUGUCAUGUACUCAACAGUCCUUGGUGAUAUGAAUAACCUCUGCAAUCUAGGUGUGAUUGUGAAGUAUCCAAGUUUUUUAUAUGCCAUAAGAGUCUUUCCCCUACCAGUUCUGGGUUUGUAACGGGAAUGCCCGCAUGUCAUGCACUCGGUCAGCUCAACAUUUUCAAGGUAGUAUAACAUGCAGAAGUUAGGGCACAUGUCAAUUUUCUGGUAUCCUAAACUGAGGGGUUUCAUCAUGGACUUUGCAAUAUAGAAGUUCUCUUUCAGCCUGUUCCCUUUAGGUAAAAUUCUUCUCGCCCAUUCGAUAAUUUUGUCAUAACCGGCCUCACUCAACCCGUGAUCUGACUUGAUGGUGAACACCUGUGCUACAGUCGAUAAUUUACUAUGGUUCGUGCAACCAUCCCAUAAUGAUUCGUCAGAAUCUUUCAACAAAUAAAAAAACCUUGCUGCAUCUGCAUUAGGUUCUUCUUCUACAAUUAGACAAUAACUGACAUUACCUUCAUUCAUUCUCAUUGCAUCCAUAACCAUAUUUCUGUAAGGAUUAAUGUUGUCAUUUACAACUUCAUGCAAGUUGUUAGCAUUAGAAGUUGACUCAACCAUCCUUUCUACCAUGCUCUCAUUAGGAACAAAUAGUUCUCCGUGUGCAUACCAACACAGGUAAUCCUCUAUGAAUCCUUUGGUUAGAAGAUUCAUCGUUACAACAUCUUGAUGCAGAAACUUUUUAUUUUUACACUUCCUGCAUGGACACCUAAUACCGACAUCAGUAAAAUUCCUCGAAAUAGAUUGCGAAAUUAAUAAAACCCUGAACCCCAUUACAAUAAUCCAUCCUCUGCAAUCCUUAGGGUGAGUCUCGAUACAUCUAUGAACGAUCAUCCAUGACUUCUAUAGAACCUCUAUAAAAUUAUGAUGACAACAUGUAUUAAUUAACUAUGUUACGUAAAUAAAUUUGUAAAAAUAUUGGUUCGCCCCGACAUUAUCCAACAAACUAAAAACACACUUAUGUUAAAUAUUCAUUAUCAAUUAUCAACGUCCAUAUAAAUUUAUACAUAUAUAAAUUUACGGAAAUCACAACUCCGCAAUAGAAUUGAUAAAAAUUAAAACGAACCCAUUAAAUAAGCUAUUAUUUAUUUCAUCACAACAUAUCUAAUUCGGUGUAAUUCAAACAAAGUUUCAACAAUUUACAAACAAAUACAAUUUCAUAAAAUCUAAAACAAACUAUAACAACUACAAAAUUAUAUAUUCAUACUACAAGUUUCUUUGACAAAUAACAAUAAAACAAGUACAUACGUUAACAAAAUACUUAUACUAAAAAAACAAUAAAAAAUAACAAAAUUGACAUUUAAAUGUUAAAACUAAAAAGGAUAGAUUUGCUUACAAAAAAUGAUAAAAUCCACAAUAAAUUAAUCGGAGAACAGAUGUUGUCAUGACCAUGUACAAAAGUAUAAGAAACUUGAGUGUUUGUGUUGAGAAGAGGGGGAGAGUUGGGAUGGGUGGUUGGUUGCAGUUUGGGAGGGGAGAGUUAGGAAGGGAAAGAAAAAGGAGAAAUAGAGGAGGAGAGAGUCAGCAAAGUGUGUAUAUAUUGGCUUUUAUCGAUGGAAUCACCGACAGACACGUUCCGUCGGUAUACCCAUCUGUAAUGCUGACGGUGAAUGGGCCACGUCACUAUACAGAGAUUCCGGUUUGAAUCCAUCGGUCAUUUCGUCGGUAAAAUCAUCUAAAAAAAUUGCACGUUAUCACACUGUUUCUCCUUUUCAAAAUUAUAUAGAUUCCGUCGGCAAUCCAGUCGGUAUAUACCGACCGCAUUGUCGACAGAAUCUAUGCCAUCGGUAAUUAUUACUGACAGCAAAAUUAUAUCCGUCGGUAAAAAAUACUUGCCCUCCCUUCUGUAUAUUUUUGUUCCUCCUAAUAAACUUCCUCUACAUAUGUAACACCAAAAAGUUAUGUCUCUCUCACUCCUUACAUUUACUCUCACAACUUCUCUUUCAUUAUCUCUGAAACUAAUCCCUUAUUUUCUUUCCUUUCUCUUUCUACUUGUGUUUUCUUCUUCUUCACACCCCUUAAUCAAAUCAACUAAAAUCCAAUUACAAUUUCUUUCUCUUCAUAUAUUUUUUAUAAUUACUUUCAAUAUUUGUAUUUUUAUGUUUUUACUUCUUUCCUUUUUUUUAUUUUUUUAUUCUUUUUCACUUUUUUUUUAUAUUUUUGUUCUUUUCUCUUAUCUCUCUCAUUUUUGUUAAUGUUUUUAUAUAUAUAUAUAUACCAUGCUUAAUUAUUUAUUCAUAUAGUGUAACUGAUUUAUUUAUUUUGUUAUCGAUUUUUCCUAUUUUGUUAUUAUUAUUGUCAUGUGUAGGAUUGUGUGUGAUGAUGAAAAUAGUUUGAUUUCUAUGAAGUGUUAGUGGUUUAUUGAUUUUAGAUUUUAGAAUUGUUCUUGAUAUUAUGAGAUCGAUAAUCUAUUUUUUUUUCAUUGAAAAAUAUAUAAUUUGAUUCAAUAUUUAAAAGUAGAAUAUGUGUAUUUUUAUUGUUUUAUAUUUUAUCUGUUUAGAAUGUUAUUUUUAUUUAUUUAAAACACCAAAGGAAUCAGCAAAGGAAUUUAAAAAAUAUAUAUUUUUCAAAAAGAAAUCCCUAAAAUUAAAAACCCCAUUAGCAAUUCUCUAGGUGAAAGAUACCAACAAUUAUUUUUUUUUUCCAAUCCAGAAUUUUACCAACUUAUUUUUUCCAUCAGAAAUCUCCUUCAAAAAUUAGUUUACGACGGAACCUUUAAGGCAUAGCGAGGGGUCAAGGCUCGGGCUUGGAGUGGCAAGCAGAGCUGCAGAGGCGGAGGGGAGAAUACAAAUAAGAAGGAAGCGCUGCCCUAUAAAACCAUAGAUAUUAAACCCGGCCUGAGGGUUGACCCGGCCAAGGGGCCGGGUCCCGGGUUUCAGGGGUCAACUCGGGUCAACCCGGAUUAACCCGGAAAAAUAAUAAAAAAAAAAAAUUAAUAUUUCAUAUGAAAAAAUCCAUGUAAAUAUAGAUUAUAUAUAUUAUGAAGUUUAAAAGAAUAUUUAAAAAAAAAAUUUAUCCCACAUUAAAAAGAUAUUAUGUUAAGCUUUUAAGUUAAAGUAUUUAAACUAAAAAAGUUUUUUAUCCCACAUUGAAAAAACAUAACUUUUUCCUUGGAAACAUAGAGUAUAUAUACUAAUGGGUUUCAAAUCCCACAUUGAAAAAACAUAACUUUUUUCAUGGGAACAUGGAGUAUAUAUAUGAAAGGGCUUCAAAUCUUAUAUUGAAAAGAUACUAUGUUAUCCUUUUAAGUUGAAGUAUUUAAACCAAAAGGUUUUUUAUCCCACAUUGAAAAAACAUGAUUUUUUUCAUGGAAACAUAGUGUAUAUAUAUGAAAGAGCUUCAAAGACAUGGUAGGGUGAUUCAUCCCGGCACCAAGGAAAAGUCAUAAUUAAACACUUACGACCAUCUAGACUCGAUAAUCAGAAUUAAUUAAUAAUUUAGAAAAACGACUUAAUAAUGACCCUUUAAUGACCAAUAAUAUUGUCAACAAAUUGAAAUGCAAACUUCUUACUCGACUAAACUGUAAAUAAAAAUUUAAAGCGGACUAGAGAUUUUAUAAGUUUCAAAUUGAAAUUGAUUGAAAGGAACAAGGGUGGUCUACCGAUACUUUAAGAAAGAAAAUUACAUUUGAACCAAUAAAAAAUGAUAAAAAUAUUUUAUUUAGGUUUAAUUUUUUUUAUUCUUUUUUAUAUUUCUCUCUUAUUUUUGUGUUUAUCUUUUUUAUAUAGACUAAAUAUUAGUAGUUAUUCUUAGAUUACUUUAAAAUUUCUCGUAGCCUCUUAUUUUUUUAUCCUUAAUUUGUACAAAAAAAAGAAUAAUUUUUUUAUUAACGUGGAUGUCCGGGCUAGCUUACGUACACCUUGACUAAUUUCACGGGUCUUGAAGUUAAUGACCAUGUAAGCCUCCAGAGACCUUAAGGACUCGAACUCAUGAUCAUUGAAGAGCAAACACAAGGCCUGACCAGUAUUGAGUUACCUCUCAUGGUUAAAAGAAAGACAAAAAAAAAAAAAAAAAAGAUUGGAAGGGUGGGUGAUUAGCACCUGAGUCCUUAUGCUACCACUACUGAUUAAAAUAUACAAGGAAAGCUGCCCCUUUUUUCUAUUAGCUAGGUUUUACCUAAUUUCGAAAGGAAAAAUGAUACAAAGCUAGACCGUGACACAAUGCUCUCAUCACCUAUCAUCGCCACAUUGAGCGUGCAGGUUUUGCUUUGGCUUAGGACAGGCUGCGAUCGAUCUCUGCUUUGAAGUUACAAAAAUUAAUGGAUUAAGAAAAGGAAAGCAAGUUUGAUUUUAUGCAACGAAUGACUUCACCUACGAUGGAGACAAUGGAGUAGGCAUUCGGAUAAGGCAAGCAAGAAUUUCAGACAUCAAUUAAGCAAGCCUUAUCUAUUAACUUGUAAUGUCCGUGGCCAAUUUCUUUUCUUCUUCUAUUCCCUGUGUUUUGCCUAAAUUAAUGUAUAGAAAGCAAAAAAAAUAACAACUUACAAUACCAAAUGGAUGCGUGAAUGUUUUUUUGAAGUUAAAAUCGAGAAAAAUAUACAUUGAAUAUGCUGUAGCAUCGCUCCUUGCUAUUCCAUCAAGUGAAUAAAUGGAUUUUAGCCAUUUAAUGUAAUGUAAUGUAGCCAGACACUAGAUUUUGACUUUUGCAAAGGAAAUAUAUUAAGCAUGCAGUUAAUAAGAAAAUACGCUUAACUGGUCAGGUUCUAGAUUUGCGUUUUAGAGAUCAUCAGUUCGAGUCCCACAAACCUCAAGGUUACUGGAAGCUUACAUGGUUAUUAACUUCAGGAUCCAUGAAAUUAAUUAAGGUGCGCGCAAACUGGCUUGCACACCCACAUUAAAAAAACAAAAAAAAACAGACACAAUAUAACUGGUUGAGAGAGGAAUUAAUGGUAACUAACCAUUUAGUAAUUAAUUAGGAUGGGAAGGAAUAUGGCUGCCAUCAUCCAGCAAUAAAUUAGACGUUAAGAUUUUUAGGACAAAUUAAUAGAAAAAGGUUAUGGAAUGUUUAAGGAGAAGGAACAAAUCAAUGGAGUAAGAUCCGGACUUGCUGUUUCCUUGCUAGUGCUUGCCAUGACGUUAUACCGAUAGGAAAAGAGAAUUAGGUACAGAAACGAUGCUGCAUAAGGACAUUCCAUUUCCCAAGAUUUUUUAUAUAUUUUUUUUAAAUUAUGUUUGUUGUUGAUUUUUAAAAUAAUUUUUAUUUAAAAAUAUAUUAUAAUAAUAUUUUUUUAAUUUUUAAAAUAAACAAUCUUUUGACCUUGUGAAAUACAUGGGGCGCCGGCUGAAAAACACCACCAAACUCAUUCAGCAGCUCUCUGUAAAACCACGUGUAAGCAGACAGGCAAUAAAAAUAAAAUAAAACAGCAAGUAGAUAAUGAAUCAGUUAGGAAGAUCACAAUGAAUGUUCCUUGCCAUCUUAGAAAUUAAAUAAAAUACCAAAUAAUUUUCACUGACUGCCCAACCAUAUUGAAAAAAGCUAAUAAAUCUGUCAAAAGGAAUACAUAAAAAAUUAAAUUAAAGGGAAAAAUAAACUAUUAUAGAGAGAUUCUGGUAAGCUGUAAUGAAGAUGUAGACCGUAAGUUGGGAUAGAGCUUUCUUAUCAGGGUCUUCGUGUGGGUUUCUAGUGCAUGUCUCCCUCAAGAUUUGUUUCUUUCGGCUUGGCGUGAAGAGCUGGACUCCAAUUCAUUAUUACUCCACGUCAACCAACACCCUCCUCCUCUUUUAAACCAGUCCCCGUCUCCCUCCCUCCAUCAAACCUGACUGAAGCCUAAAAGUCUCCUUUUCUUUCAAAAAAAAUGGAGGGUCUUAUCCCUUUUGUGUACAGGGCUAUAAUGCAAUUCAAUAACGGGAAAGAAGCCGGACCUUUAGGGUCAUGGUUCAGUGAGUCACCUUCAGCCUCCUACAUGCGACUUCCUGGCGAUUCAGGUCGGUUUCAGAAGUCCGAUUUACGAAUUCUUGGAUCCGACCACGGCUUCUCUAACUCUUCAACAUCAUCUAAUACGCAUUCUUCAACCACUCAAAUUAUUGUUUCUACCGGAGCUCAAGCUCCUCUUAAUUGCCGUUUGACUUCUCGUCGAGUUGUCUCACAAUCAUGAUCAAGACCCUUGGAAAAACACUGUACGAGUGUGUGACAUGCUUGAAGAAAGCUGAAGGCAUGGAGCUAGCUUGUCAAGGAUGAUGGGUGUGCAGGUAACUAUGUCUAGAGACUUUGUGUGUGUGUAGCAAUCUUAUUUGGUGCCUGUGGUUUCUCAGUUUGGAAUAUGGUAAUAACAAGCGUGUGGAAAACCGAAGGAGCCGCACAGCUUUGUGUUAUUGGUGUGGACGUGAAGGUAAAAAGGAUGUCGGCAUGUGUAAAUCCAAAGGGGCACACAUGCUUUGUAUUAAUCAAUUACCAGCAGCAGCUUAGAUUUGUGUAAAAAUGGAGUUGUAAUAAUGUUUGAAAAAGGUCUAUGUUUCUGUACUGUAAUGGUUCAGUAAUGUCAAUCAGUUCAUGUGAACAUAAUAAAGUUCAAUCCACUUCCUUGCCUUUGGUCAUAGGUGGGAUGUGUUAACAAUUAGCCUUGGCGAUUAUUUGAUGUUUUGUUUCUUAAUUUAGUUUUUUUUUAUUAUUAUUUUUUUGCUUAAUGGCCUAAAUUUCUGCAUUCCAGAGUUUAAUGGGAUGCAGCGAAGAAAAAUAGUAUUUAUGGUUUUUUUUUUUUUUUUUGAUAAGCAAAAUGAAGCCUAUAGAAGGCAAUGUCAAUAACUCAGGGUUCUAUUACGAUAUAACCAGCAGAGCCCAAGGGGUAUAAAACAGAUAACCCAAAAACAAGGAGACCUCCAAGGAAAUGAGCCAUCAUCCUCCGAAAAGACGACAUUGAGCUGACUCAUGUCAUAAGGGAAGUGCGAGAAUGAAGGAGAUAAUGCGAAAACCAGGCCGAACAGAGAUGAAUCAGCUGCUCCACACCUUCACUAACACCAUCUCCAAUUUGCAUACUCUUAAGAGCCUUUGAAGAAGCAUCUGCAAGUUUGUCUGAGAAGCCCUCUUGCACACAUAUUCUGAUUACACAAACACAUGAUUGUCCACUAUUACAGAAACCUUGCCUUUUAACAGUUCCAGCAGCGCCAGCCAUCAAUUUCUUUUUCCUCUGAAGAUCCUUUCUUGAAGAAACUGGAAAAAUUAAUCAGAAAGAGGAGCUUGAUCUGCCAUUACAAGAAAUCUUAUCAUUAAAGCACACUGAAAUAGAAACUGGAGGCAAGAAAACUGUCUGACCAGGAGCUUCCCAAACUCCAGGAAUCACUUGGAACAUCUGAUUCUGCUACGAAGAUUUCGCGAACAAGACAAUGGUCUGACAAUCCCGAAUCGCCUCUGCUGAGAUUUUGAUGCUUCAAUAUCUCUCCAAAACAAAUUAUUCUAGCACACCAAGCAGGGGCAUGCUUCUUUUUACCCUUCAUCUUCUGGUCGUGAACAAACAUUUUGCAAGGCAGAUCGCGCAAAGGAUCACGAGAAUAUGCAUGCCAAAAAUUCUGUAACGAUUGCAUUUCUGGUCCUUCCCUCCAGAAGCCAAAAGACUACAUAGUGGGGACACCAGACCCACACCGCAAAUUACACGGGUAUAUGGAUAGAGAUGACAUAGAAUGACCCAGCCUAUCACAUUUUGAUUAGGAGACUAAGCCCAUUUGGUCUGUCUCAUUGUUAUUUUAUUUAUUUAAAAUUAUUUAUAUUAAACACUUUGAUUUGAUGGGCUGAGCCCAAUAGUGAGAUGUUUUAGGGUUUUACUAUUUAUAUGUUUCUCUGUCAUUUUGUGAGACAGUUUUGAUGAUUAAUGAAAAUAUUGCAGACUUUACAUAUCUUCAAUCCCCUUUCUUCUCUUUUUUAGCUUUUUUCUUUCUCUAAAAGCUUCUUUUUUUUCUUGCUUUAAUUCUUAUUAUUUAUUGUCCCGCAUCAAAUUUGAUAUCAGAGUUAGGGUUUAUAUUGUUCUUACAAUUAAACGAUCCACAUAUUUAUGCUAAACCCUAGAUCUGGUUUGAUCUUUAAAAAAAACACAUUGUUCAUUGUUCAUUGUUCAUCAUCAACAACAGCAAUCAACAACGACGCCUCAACUAAUCACAGCAGCGCCUUAACCAAUCACAGCAGCAGACCCACCACCGAGAAGACCGCCACAUUAGUCCAUAGAUCCACGUCGAUUUACUACCUCCGACACAGACCAGCAGCAACCACCAGAUCGACACCGCAAGAGACAUUAGUAGAUUUUCGGCUUCAGCAACCAAACCAGAGUCACAAAACCACCAGCCACAGCCACCCACAAACCCAUCACAGCCAGCACCGACUGGUGAUUCACAGCAGCAAAGGCAGGGCAACAUAUCUUUAUCUGCAACCAUCCACAGUGCCAUUGCCUUCAGCAGCGACAACAGAUCCACACAUCAACAGGCCCUCGUCCAGCAGCGACACAACAACCCCUUUCAUCGCACCGCCGAUCCCAAACAGAAUCACAGAGCCACGUUUCUUGCGCCAUCGCUGUCAGUAGCGACAAAAGAUUACAGGAGGUAGGGAAGAAGAAAACAGAAGCUCUCAAGGCAAAAUAAUUAACUUCACCAUGUCACCUGCCACAUCAGCACCACGCCACCUGCCAUAUCAGCACUCUGAAACAGCAUUUGCGUCAUCGCCACAUCAGCACCACGCCACCUGCCAUAUCAGCACUCUGAAACAGCAUCUGCGUCAUCGCCACAUCAGCACCACGCCACCUGCCAUAUCAGCACUCUGAAACAGCAUCUGCGUCAUCGCCACAUCAACAUGUCCCACCACGUCAUCUGCCACGUAAUCUUUCGCUGCCACAUCAUCCGGUCAGAAAUUCUUUUACCAAUUGAAUAUCAUCAUUCCUAGUAUGCUUUUACACUUGUUAACCAAGAUUUAGCAUUAAUAUUAUUCUUUGUGCUUGCCCAUAAAUAAAUUACAUAGUCCAUCUCGCAAAUUGAAUUACCUUAAUUUUAGGCUUGUUUAUUGGCAUUGAGUAUCCGAUCAUCUUAAUUAAUUGUGGAGCUUGGUUAAAUUCGUGGGAAAAUUGAAACAUUGUGUUUGGAUUACUUAUGUGCAUUUAGAGGACUUACGUUGCUUGCUUGCAAAUUUUCCUGUUUAAUCUGUCAUUACUUAGUCUCAAAGAUAAAAAUAAAUAAAUAAAUAAAAUAAAAUAAUUUUUUUAAAAAAUAUUAGCUAUAAUUAUAUUUUGCGUUUUUACUUGUAAGUGUUGUUUGUGAUCUUAGUCUUAGGAUUAGUUUUUGCAUGCAUUUAUGUAGUGAUCGUCUAGUACACAAUCUAGAAGUCAUAGCUACCAUGGACUCAA